rnacentral:lncRNA from 1 species
GAAAAAGAAAAUGGGUUAUACCACUCAGCCUUAUCAACUUUUGAUUUGCCUCCUGUUAUUGCUCUUCUAUUCUCAGUGUUCAGCAAUACUUUGCUCUCACCACCAAAGUUCUGCUUUACUCCAAUUUAAACAGCUCUUUUCCUUUCAAAAACAUUCUUCGCACUAUUGUGAUAUAUUUCAAAAAAUAUCUCGUCCAAAGAUGAUGUCUUGGAAAGAGGACGCUGAUUGCUGCUCCUGGGAUGGAGUAACAUGUGAUUCGGCGACGGGUCACGUGAUUGGCCUCGACCUCAGUUGCAGUUGGCUUCACGGCAACAUCCCUUCCAACAGUAGCCUUUCCUUGCUUCCUCGCCUGCGAAAGCUCAACCUGGCUUACAAUGAUUUCAAUUACUCUAAGAUUUCUUCUGGUUUUACUGAUCAAUUUCCGAGUUUGACACUCCUUAACCUCUCUUGGAGCAAUUUCACGGGGUCAAUUCCUCCCUCACUAAGUAACAAUAUUACACAACUUGCUUAUUUGGAUCUCUCAUUUAACAGUUUUACUGGUCAGAUUCCAUCAUCUUUUUCAAAUCUCCACCAGCUUCGUCAUUUAGAUCUUUGGCACAAUAAUUGUGAUGGCAAAAUUCCGGAUAUAUUUACCAACCUAACCCGACUUUCUUAUUUAGACCUGGAUGACAAUCAACUGACUGGCUCGAUUCCAAGUUCAAUCUUUGAACUUUUGAAUUUGACAUAUGUCUCUCUUUCUUUUAACAAUUUCAGUGGCAGCGUUGAGCUUUACGAUUUUGCAAAGCUCAAAAAUCUUAAAGUUCUUUCUCUUUCUAAUAUUAGUUUAUCAGUGAGCACCAAAUUAACAGUCAACUCGUCUUUCCCUAAUCUUCUGGGGUUGGGUUUAUCGGCUUGCAAUAUAAGUGAGUUUCCAGACAUCUUGAGAACUCAACAUCAGUUAGAGUGGUUGGGCCUUUCUAAAAACCAAAUCCAUGGUAGGAUUCCCAGUUGGAUGUGGGAUAUUGGAGUACAUACUUUGUGUUUUCUAAUUCUUUCACAAAACUUCCUGACAAGCAUAGACCAUCUUCCGUGGAAAAAUCUCGAAUAUCUUACCCUUGAUUCGAACCUACUUCAAGGGUCACUUCCAGAUCUACCACCUCACAUGGUACACUUUUCAAUUUCCAACAAUAGUUUGACAGGAGAGAUUCCUUCAUCAUUUUGUAAUUUAAGUUCCAUUCGAUAUCUUGGCUUAUCCAACAAUAGCUUAAGUGGACAAAUUCCAGAGUGUCUUGGAAACUCUACACUUGAAACUUUGGAUCUCGGAAUGAACAACUUCCAAGGUAACAUCCCACAGACAUAUGCAAAGGGCUGCAACUUGACUUAUCUUCGGCUGAAUGGCAAUCACUUGGAGGGACCAUUACCACCAUCUUUGACUAACUGUGUCGAUUUGCGAUUUCUUGAUGUUGGGAAUAACAGCUUGAGCGGCCCAAUUCCAGUAUAUCUUGGAAACUCAACACUUGAAGUCUUGGAUAUGAGAAUGAACAAGUUCAACGGCAGCCUCCCUCAAACAUUUGGAAAAAGUUGUGUUUUGGUAAGUCUUAAACUUAAUGGCAAUCGGUUGGAAGGACCAUUGCCUUCAUCUUUGGUUAAUUGUCGACAUUUGGAAGUUAUAGAUGUUGGGAACAAUCAGAUUAAUGACACCUUUCCCUACUGGUUAGACGUUCUUCUUGAAUUGCAAGUUCUUAUAUUGCGUUCUAAUAGAUUUUGGGGUCCUAUUGGUGAUACCAAAACAAGAGUUCCCUUUCCCAAGUUGCGAAUAAUGGAUUGCUCUCACAAUCAACUCACCGGUGUUUUGCCACUACGGUAUUUGGAUAGUUUUAAAGCCAUGAUGCAUGGGGAUAACAAUAGUGUUGAAGUCGGUUAUAUGAGGUGGCGGUAUUCCUCUAAUUACUAUGAGUCAAUAUUUCUGACUAUGAAAGGCAUUGACUUACAAAUGGAGAGGAUUCUAAAGACUUUUGCAACUAUUGAUUUGUCCAGCAAUAGAUUUCAAGGGAAAAUUCCAGAAGUAGUGGGAAAGUUGAAUUCACUCAAAAGUCUCAACAUUUCUCACAACAACCUGACAGGUUGUAUUCCUUCAUCGCUGAGAAAUCUGACAGAGCUUGAAUCUCUAGACCUCUCUUCAAACAAGCUUGCUGGACGUAUCCCAACACAACUGGCGAGUCUCAAUUAUCUUUCGGUGUUGAAUCUUUCGAACAACCAGCUCGAGGGACCCAUACCAGGAGGACCCCAGUUUACUACAUUUGGAAAUGAUUCCUAUUCUGGUAACUCGGGUCUGUGUGGAUUCCCAUUAUCAAAAAGCUGCAACAUUGAUGAGGCACCAGAACCAACAACACCAACAGGAUUUUUCGAAGGAGACGACGCCUCAAGCUGGUUUGAUUGGAAGCUCGCUAAGUUGGGUUACGCGUCUGGAGUGGUGAUCGGCUUGUCCAUCGGAUACAUGGCAUUUGUGACUGGAAGGCCACAAUGGUUUGUAAGAAUGAUCGAAAGGAAGCAAUCCAGGAAGCUGAGAAGGGUGAUCAGACGAGGCAGAGCAAGUAGAAGAAGUUUGUAGAUGGAUCUCUAAAGGCCCAGGUGAGUAAUUAUUAGUUUUGUCUUUUGGAAUUAUAAGCUGGUUUCUACUGUUCUUUAAGUAGAUAGCAUGCCGAUAUUAUCGUAAUCUAACAGUUGACUUGCGAAAAUCACAAUCCUAAUUAAUUUCAAAUUAUGCUUAUUAUCGACAUCUAUAGUGAGAAACAAAAUGAGGAUAAUGUAUAAGAAAGAAAAUUUUAACUGAAUUAUUGAUGCGAUUGUUUUUACUUUUAUUGCCAUUUCAUUAGAACAUGUCGUCACGGACGUACAUUGUUGCAGGAAAUUGUGUGGGGGUAACUUUGGUUUGGGCCACGUACUUCAAAUUUGGGCGUAGAACGUACUAUUUAAAAGUUUGUGAGGAGAAAACAUUCUUUGCUUUUGGCUCAGUGAUAUCAUUUUAAAAACUCAGAGCUUAAUUAAUAACUCCAUUAAGUGGGUACAUUUCUCUUCUUGGAGAAAAUGUAUUAAAUGAGAGUCAACCUACCAUGCAGCGCUGUAUCUUAUACAGCGCAUGCAUGCAACUGGUACAACCGGUUUUUAACCGGAUAAUAUAAUAAAAAUUAUAUUUUUAUUUGUUUUUAAUGUGAAACAAUUAUGAAAAAAAUUGGAAAAAAAUGAUUAAAUUGUAAUUAAAUGAGGAAAAAGAUUGUAAUAAUUUAAAAUUUAAAAAUAGUAUAAAAAAAAAUUAAAAAAAAUUAACAUAUGACAAAAUGGUUACAUUCCUACUUAUUUUGUCACAUUCCAAUAUUUAUAAUGCAUAUUUCAAGUUUACUUUUCAAAUUCCUAUUUUUCAUGGUUAUUUAUCUAAAUUUUGGUACAUUGUUUCAACUCGUUUUCCCACUAGUUUUUGGUUUCAUAUAUCCACUCUUUUCAUUAAUUUUCAGCUUUUUAGGUGUAUAUUUCAAGUUUGUUUUUAUAUCUCUGUAAUGUAUUAAACUUUAUCUAUUUUUUGGUAAAUUGUUCCGAUUUAUUUUUCUACCACUUUUUGGUUCUAUAUUCCUACUAUUUUUAUUGAAUUUCAAUAUUUGGGUAAAUAUAUCAAGUUUAGUUUUUAUAUCAUUACUUCUCAUUUGAAUUUAUUAAAUUCUUGGUAAAUUAUUUCAACUUUUGGGUUAAUUUUUUCAACUCUUGUUCCUACCACUUUUUAGUUCUAUAUUCCUACUCUUUUUAUUGAAUUCCAAAUUUUUUUUUGGAUAUUUCAAGUUCAAUUUCGAGAUCCCUACUUUCCAUUAGAAUUUAUCAAAUUUUUGGUAAGUUAUUUCAACUCAUUUUUCCAUCAGUUAUUAGUUCUAUAUUUCUAGUUCUUUCAUUAAAUUUCCAGUUUUCAGGUUGAUAUUUCAAGUUUAUUUUUUAAUCUCAAUAUUCUAUUAGACUUUAUCUAAUUAUUGCUAAGUUGUUCCAACUUAUUUUUCCACUACUUUUGGUUCAAUAUUCCUACUAUUUUUAUUGAAUUCCAAAUUUUGGGUAAAUGUAUCAAAUUUACUUUUUAGAUCCCUACUUCGCGUUUAAAUUUAUCAAAUUAUUGUUAAGUUAUUUCAAUUUUUGGGUUAACUUCUUCCACUCUUAUUUUCACCACUUUUUGGUUCUAUAUUCCAACUAUUUUCAUUGAAUUCUAACAUUUUGCUUGGAUAUUUCAGGUUUAAUUUCUAGAUCUCGACUACUUGUUAAACUUUAUCAAAUUCUUAUUAACUUCUUCAAACUUUUAGGUUAUGCUCUUCAACUCUUGUUUCCACCAUUUUUUUGUUCUAUAUUUAUACUCUUUUUACUUAAUUCCAAUAUUUUUUGUGAAUGUUUCGAGUUUAUUUUUUGAUCCCAACCUGUUGUUGGAUUUAUCAGAUUUUGGUAAUUCUUUCCGAGUUUUAGGUUAAGCUCUUUAACUUUUUUUUUCCACCACUUUUUGAUUUUAUAUUCUUACUCUUUUCAUUGAAUUCCAAUAUUUUACAUAGAUGUUUCAAGUUCAUAUUUUAAAUCCUAUUUAUUGUUGAAGUUUAUCAAGUUAUUGGUAAAUACUUACAACUUUUGGGUUAAACUCUUCAAUUGUUGUUUCCACCAUUUUUUGGUAUUAUAUUUAUAUUCUUUUUAUUGAAUUCCAAUAUUUUAGGUAAAUAUAUCAAGAUCAUUUUUUAGAUCUCUACUUUCCGUUAAAAUUUAUCAAAUUCUUUGUAAGUUCUUCCAACCUUUGGUUAACCUCUUCAACUUUUAUUCCCAUCAAAUUUUGGUUCGAUAUUUCUACUCUUUUUAUUGAAUUCCAACAUUUGGGUGAAUGUUUCAAGUUUAUUUUUUAGAUCUCUAUUUUUCAUUGGAAUUUAUCAAACUCUUGUUAAGUCGUUCCAACUCCUGGGUUAUGCUUUUCCACUCCUUUUUCACCAUUUAUUGGUUCUAUGUUCCUAUUCUUUUUAUUGAAUUCUAACAUUUGGGUAAAUAUAUCAAGUUCUGUUUUCAGAUCCUUGUUUUCCAUUAAAAUUUAUCAAUUUUUUUGUAAGUUGUUCCAACUUUUGGGUCAACGUUUUCAACUUAUUUUCUUACCAAAUUUUGGUCCUUUAUUCCUACUCUUUUUAUUAAAUUCCAAUAUUUGAGUAAAUGUUUCAAGUUUAUUUUUUAGUUCUCUACUUUUCAUUAGAAUUUAUUAAAUUCUUGUCAAGUUGUUUCAAUUUCUUUGUUAAGCACUUCCACUCAUUUCCUACAAUAAAUUGGUUUUAUAUUCCUACUCUUUUAAUUGAAUUUCAAUAUUUUAUGUGGAUGUUUCAAGUUUAUUUUCCAGAUCCCUAUUCAUUGUUGGAAUUUAUUAGAUUAUUGGUAGAUACUUACAACUUUUGGGUUAAGUUCUUCAACUAUUAUUACCACCACGAUUUGGUUAUAUAUUCCUACUUUUUUUAUACUAAAUUCCAAUAUUCUGGGUUAAUAUUUCAAGUUCAUUUUUAAGAUCUCUACUUCUCAUUGGAAUUCAUCAAAUUCUUUGUAAGUUGUUCCAACUAUUGUGUUAAUCUCUUCAACUCUUUUUUCCACGAUACUAUAUUCCUACUCUUUUUUAUUGAAUUCCAACAUUUAGGUGAAUGUUUCAAGUUUAUUUUUCGGAUCUCUACUUUUCAUUGGAAUUUAUCAAACUCUUAUCUAGUUAUUCCAACUUUUAAGUUCUGCUCUUCCACUCUUUUUUCCACCAUUUUUUGGUUCUAUAUUCCCACUCUUUGUAUUGAAUUCCAAUAUUUUGAUUAGAUGUUUCAAGUUUAUUUUUUAUAUUUCUACUUUCUUUUAAUCAAUUUCAACUUUAUUUUCAAGAUUUUUUGGUUACAUAUUCUAACUCUUUUAAGUGUAUUCCAAUAUUUUGGCUAAUGAUCCAAGUUUACUUCAUAAAUUCAUGAUUUCCGUUAUAAUUUUUCAACUUUUUAGUAAAUUAUUCCCACUUUUAGGUUAAGUUAUUCCUACUCUUUUACACCUUACAAUGGUUUUAUAUUCCUAUUAUUUUCAUUAUAUUCCAACACUAUAGAUGCAUGUUCCAUGUCCUUUUUUUCAACUACUAAUAAUAUUACUUUUUUAAAAUAACAACAAUAUCAGUAAGGCCAAUUAUAUAUAACCCCUUAUUAUUUUAACAAAUAUCAAUUUACUAUAAAAUACUGAAUUUUUUUUUUAUUGCAACCCUUUAUCAUUUUCAACGUUUUGGGUCCUUAAUUUAAGUCCUUUUUUUUUAAUCUUCGUUACUUCAUGAGUUCUUCUGAAUUUGAAUGUAUAUAUACUUAAGCUUUUAAUCUUUAUACAUAUUUAUUAUCAUUUAAUCAUUUUAAUUAUAUAGUAUUUAGUUAUAUUUAAAAAAAUUUAUGCAUUCAUUUCCAUCUUUCUCUUUACUUUUCAAACUAAAUGCUUUAAUUUUUCAUAACUUCAACGGUAUAUAAAUAAAUAACAAUUGAGAAUGAUUGCAAUUGUAAAUGAAAUUAUCAUGCCCUAUUAAGUUAUCCAGUGCACUAAAAAAUUAACCAAAUCAAAAUUUUCAUCCAUUUGUUUGUAAGAAUUUUUUACAAGCUUCUGGGAAAAUAAUUUUUUUAUCCAUUCGUUUAAAAUUUUUGUCAUUCUAUUUCUUUUCAAAUAAUUUCUUUGACUUCAACCAAAAUUCAUUUUAACAGCUUUGCAUGCAAUUGUUAUACUCCUCAAACAUUUUAUUUUUCAAAUUGUUAUGAUCAAAUAAAUUAUAUAUUUAUUAUACGAUUAUUCAAUGAACCAUUAAAAUUAAUAUGUUAUAUCAAAGUUUUAAAGGUUGGCAAAAAUGCUUUGUUUGUACUUGAAAGAGAAAAAAAGAUUAAAACAAAUCGUUAUUCAUUAUUUUGAGAGAUUAUUUUAAUCAUUAAUUUGAUUAUCCAUACUUGAUCUUUUGACCUCUACAUAAACAUUUGUUCAUUUAUCAUUUCCCAUUUUGCUAUGAAAAAUUUAUAAUUUGAAAAAUAAAAUUCUAUUUCAAAUAAAAAAUGUCUAAAUUCAAGUUUUAGAUCAUGAUAAUUUUAAAUAAAAAAUUAGAAAAUUCUAAUUCUUUUGAACCACUUUCUCCAUUUUAAUUAUUUACGUUUAAAAUAACCUUAUAAAUUUAUUUUCAUCUUUCUCUUUACUUUUAAAAGAAUUUCCUUAAUUUUUUAUAACUUAAACAAUAAUUGCUAUGCUUCUCAAAAAAAUUUAUCUUUUAAAAAGUUAAGGCAAACGUAAGUUAUAACUUCCAAAAUAUUUUAAAUUAAUAAAAUUGAUGCUAAUUUAUUUGUAUUAAAACAUCAUUUGUUUUCUAUCAUUUCAACUUGAUUAGAUUUCUUUUUUUUUAACGUAAUUUUAUUUAUACUUACUUUUGAUGUUUCGAUAUGUUACACCAAAGUAUACUUUUUUUAUCUCAAAAAUAAAUUAUAUUAAGUCAAUUAUUCAAUUACAGAAUCAGUUCUUCAAUUUUUCUGACUUGACUAAAAUCAUUUUUAAAAGUUUUUUACAGCUUAAUUUGGUACUAAGAGAAUAUCACUUUUUUUUUAACAUCACUUUAAUUGUUGAAUUUGGCAUGUCCUUUGCAAAUAAAAUAAUAAAUACCCUAUUAAUUGUUUGCGAUGCACUAAAAAUUUAGGUAAACUAAAACUUACAUUCAUUUAAACAGAUGUCAUAAGACAAUUAGAUUUUUUCACAAGCUUGUGACCAAAUAGCUUCAAAAAAUUAAAUCAAUUUAUAGCUUCCACAAACUAAGACUCCAGCUGCUGCUCAUUUUAGAUUUCAAGUAUCUACACAUAAAAAAAAAAAAAAAAAACAAAUGACAUUAGAAAACACAAUGCAACCGCAAAGUAAACAACAAUAUUUAGAAUUUCAAAGGCAUGAUCCAAAUUCUUAGGUAGGAUCAAAUAAAUUUGGUUUUCAACAGAAAAACUCAGACUUUUAAUCUAAAAUAAACACAAAAUAUAUUUUCAUUUAACAUAUAUAUUUUGAGGGAUUUAUUAAUAGCAAUAUUCAAUAUAUAAAAAUUACUCUCGACUUGCAUAAUUGUUCGAUGCAACUUUUAUGUCUACUUUCAUUUAACGACCAAGUGAUCUUUGGAAUAAAGAGAAAGAUAACAAUACAUCAAGAAUUACCAAGAUCAAAAUUCCAUUUACCCACAAAUUCAUUUUAACUAGUAACAAGUGAUAUAAAAUUAAACAAUACGGCAUGUAGAUAUCAUAUAAAAAAUAACAAGUAAAUGUUUCUUUAUUUUAAAAUAGCAACUCAAAUCAUAUUACAUGUUACAACUAUAAUCCAAGGAAUUAAGGCAAGCAACACAAUCCAAUAAACAAUAAAGCAAAUAAAAUGAAAUCUAACAAUCAAACAACUACAAUUUCAACUGAAACAUUAGAGACUAUGCAAGUUUUAGAUUAUUAAAAUAUCUCCGAUAGCUAAAAGAAAAAUGCUAAUCAAUUACAUUGGCAAAAAUACUCAAUUAAAAUUUAAUCUUCUUCGCAAUGCUGAAACACUAGUUGAAGUUCCCAUUAGUAAUAUCACUGAAAUAUAAUCGAAACUUUAGACAUUACAGAAUUAGUUAAAAAUAUACAAAAAAGGAGUAGAUUACUUUACAAUUCCUAAGAUAUUGUAAUACCACAAAUAUAACAAAUUAAAAUAACAAGAGUUCAAUCUCUAAUUUUCUAUCAUUUCCAUUCAUGCUAUGAAUUAUUGUUUCAUAUCAUAUUUUUAUUUACUCCUAUGAUUAAAGAAAACUGUAAUGAGCAUAUCAAAAUCCUCCACAUGAAAAAUUAAAGAUAGAAACUCAAGAAAAAAAAUGGAAAAAGAAUGAAAAAUGGGAGAGGCUGCAACAAAUGACUGAAUAUGGACAACAUUCAUAUCAGGAAGCAAACAAAUGUUUAUGCAAAAUAAUUUAAGAAAUAUUAAGGAGCCACAAAACAAAGUCAUCACAGCUAAUUCAAAUAAUCGAAACCAUAUCUCAAUCCAUAAACAAUGACACAAGAGGUUACAUAAAAUUAGAGGAAAAUAGACAGUGCUACCAGUUCAAGCACUAGAGAGUGGAGAUUGCAAUAAAAAUUGAAAUGUAGAGAUGCAAAUUAAUUUGGCAUCACUUCCAAAUUAUCCAUCACCAUGUAAGUCACCACACAUUAGCCAUCCUCACUUUUCUGGUUUUUAUGAAGCCUUACCAAGCUUUCACAGCUUGAGCAAAUUGUCAUUUUUUCAUUCUAAGACAAUAAAUAAGAUGAAGAUAAAACCUUCUGCCUUGCGACAUUUUGUCCUUAUUGGAAAAGGGCUUACUUGCUCCUCCAACUUACAAUUUUUUCAAAGGAAUAAGAUUUUAGAAAAUACCCAUGAUCAAUUGUAAACUCAAAGCUCCAUACUUAAUCCAUAAAAAAUACAGAGCAAGGACUCAAACACCUAUACUUAAUCGAUCAAAAUACAGAUCAAGGAUAUACAAAAAGAAAAGAUCAAUGUGCCAUAAGAAGAUAUUCCCAAUAUUUUGAAUUAAUUAGAGACUAAGAACUAUGGACAACAAGCAUAAACUUGGCAGUAAUGACAUUUGAUAAGCAUGUCCAGGGCAUUACCCAAGUGAUAUUAGCAAAAGUAAAUCUUGAUAAAACAUUUCCAAAGACAAAGAGUCAAAUACAAGGGCAACCCUCACCACCCAUGAAUUCUUACAUACACAUUAAAAUUAAAUCUCAGCUUUUUAAUAUCAGAAAUUAGUAACUAGUCUCAUCUGAAUUCUGUAGUAUUUCUUACUUUAGAUCAAUUUGUAGUAUGUUGUACGUUUAUGAUUGGCCUUAAUGAUUACCAUGUCAGUAAAGAAUAAGUGAAAUAAAAUAAUUGAACUUAAAAGCACUUGUUAGAAAGAAAUGGAUGCUAAAUUACUAAUACACAUCUAAAGAUCCAUGGUCAUGCUUAUUCUAUAUAUAUUAAAAAAAAAUCAAAAUGUGUGUGUGUGUUUUUAAUAACACAUCAUCAUUGAUAAAACAAACCUCAACAACCAAGUCUAUAACACAUCACUGAUAAAAGAAGCCUCAACAAUCAAGCCUACAUAAACAAGAAUUUAUGAAGAUAUAAAUAAUACAGAAUUACAGGUAAGCCUAUAUAACCCAAACGAAUCACUUUUGGCUGUGUGGUUGAUAAAAUAAGAAUUUAGGCAUUAAAUCAUUUGUAAAUUAAGGUGCAAAAUAUCAAGUGCACAAUCAAUUUACUUCUUCUAAUCAUACUGCAUAGGAAUAAAACUUUGUAUCAUUUAGAGUACCAAAAUUCCAUCUUGAAGAUGCAAUUAAAGUGAACAACUCAAAACAAAUUAAAUGAAACUCUAAACUAAUUAAACAAGCAUUAAAUCAAAAUCUAACCGUGCUGUCAAAAUCAAAGCGAAUAAAUUUAAUUCUUUAAGUGAGUAAUAGAGGAAAUACCUAAAUUUCGAGAAUCAAAGUCGAUAAAAGCUGAAAGGCUUCUGUAUGUUUUUCGUUCUUCAAGAAUUAAAGACGAAAUUAAAAAAUGAGAGCUGUAAAUUGAGAAGAAGUGCCGAAUCACUAAUUAGAAGUUAUUAUUAAAAGGAAAUUGAUGAGAUUUUUGUUCUUUAUUGUUAUAAAAGAAAGAGAGCAACCUUCACCCUUUGAUUCAACUCGCUAGUCUAGGGUUUGUGUGCAGAGAGAGUUCAUGGAGGAAAGUGACAAGACGGUGAGGGCUGGUGAGCUGGUGGCUGAUAUGCAGGACGGGGACGGGGACGGAAACGGCGACUGCGAUCUGGGGACGGAAGGAAUGAAGACGGCGCGACUACUAGGAUGGUGGCUGGUUUGAGAUGCUUGAGCACGACUGAGGCGAGGGGCUAGGGUUUUCAACAAUAUGAAGUACUAAAGUGUUUAUAUUUUCGGGGUAAAAAGAAAAGCUAUAUAAGGUUUUCAAUUUUAUAUAGGAAAACAUUUCAAAAAAAUUAAAAUUUAAUAAAUCAUUCUUUCAUAUUGGCGGUAGUUUUACCGCCUAAAUCAAACCUUAUUACAUUUCAUUCUAAAUGUUUAUUAUAGUAAUACAAAUAAAAAAUAUCAAAAAAUUAUUAAUACGAAUAAAUUUAAUAAUAUUAUCCUUAUAUAAUUGGAUACAUAAUUUAUAUUCUAUUUGAUGACUUAUUUUUAUAUGUUUAUAUUUCAAUGAUACUUGAUUUUAUAAUCUACCAAUAUUGUAAUAAUUUUGUAACACUAAUAAAUGAAUUGAACAACAUUUAGUAUACAAAUAAUAUAACGAAAUAUAAUAUUGCACAUUACUCAAAUAAUUUGAUUUAAUUUAAAAACGUUUCUAAAUUAUUCAAUAUUAGUAGUAUUUAGAUUGUAAUUACCCAAGGUUGUGACAAAAAGUAUAUUGAUACCUCAUGAUUUAGUGAAACUGUUAUAUAAAUCUUGUUUUGAAUAAUUAUGUUCAUAUGGAAUAUCGGUGGGUCACUUUAGCUAAAGGACAUAAUUGUCUAAAAAGAGGAAUAUGUGAUUAUUUUUUAAAAUAAUAAGGGUCUUCGAGACAAUUUCACAAAACACAGGUUGUUUGUUAUCUCUUUUUCUAAUAUUUACAAUGCAAUGUGAAUAAGAAUUGACAUUAUAAUUAACAAUAUUACUCAGCUCCAAGGGGACGGUUGUAUGGUUUCUUCAUUUAUUGCUACCGAGUAAAACUCAUGAGAGAUUGUAAGAGUUAAAAAGUUAUAUUUGUCCUCUCCCAACCAUACCCCUAAAAUAAUAAUAUUAAAUUAACAAUAUUCUAAAAAAAUAAUAAUGUCAUAACUGAAUUUAGUUUAAUCGAAUUAAUAUUGACCAAGUGCUAGCCAUGAUAGUUAUUAACAACUUUUUUUUAAUACUGAUUACACAUCAAAUUAUCACAAACAAGGGAUAUCUCUGCUCCACUCGUAUUUCGUAAGGGAAAAAAACUUGCAAAUAACUCCACACGAUCAUGCAUAAUGUUUAAUUGAGAGAGUUUGAGUCCAUGAGAACUCAAACCCCUACCCUCACAAUCAUGCUUAACUGUGAGGGUAGAGAUUCACCGCUAGGCUAAAGGCCCAUUGGAGUUAUUAACAACAUUAAAAAAGGAAAAGACUUAGUGUGUGAAUUAUGAUAUCAUUAAUCACAAUAACACUAAUAAAAAUAGAUUAAAAAUUAACAAUACGUACUUAAUUGUCUAUUACAAGUAUUUGUAGAAAUUAUUGUGACUUAAAAAUAGUGAAUAAAUAAAAUCAUAAAAGUAAUACAUAAUAUAAUGAAUAAAGUAAUUAAUUUCACAUUAAUUUCUAUGAAUUAAUUUACACAAGAGACUGUUUUUUAGUAUUAUUUAAAAAUAUCAAACAUUAGAUUUUUUAUACUUGUCUAAUAUAGAAAUAUUAUAGGUCUAAAUAUUUAUACUACAUUGUAAUAUCUAAAAAUUGAUAAAAUAUUAUGAUAAAAUUUUUUAUGUAAAACAUUCUUAACUUUAUAAUGUAAUAUUAAAAAUUAAUUGGUCAAUUUAUUAAUUUAUAUUUAAAUAUUAUUCUAAUUAGUAUAGAAGUCUCAUAUAUUUUACGUGUUUUCAUGUUAUUCGGAGAAAAAAAAAAGUAGUGUAUUUUCAAGUUAAAUUGAGGGGUUCUUUGGUAGUGUUCUACUUUGAACUGAUUAUUUGGAUAUUUAUUUGAAAUGAGGGUAGCUGUAUGAUAAUUACCUUUAAUAUUUUCCUGUUUCAUAAUUGAUAUCGGUGGCCGGUUACAUCCGCAAUAAUAAAAAAAUAAUAAAGGCAGCUGCAUGACAUACAGCGCUGUAUUACAGGCCGACCCAUUAAAUGAAAUCCCACACAUCUGCCAAUGGACUUGUACAGCGUUGACAGCACUCAUGCUCUCAAAUCUUGAGAGCAAUACUCUAUGGUAUACAUCUGAGGGUAGAAAUUGAGUUUUGUCAUGAUAAAUUUAAUUUAUUGAAAAUUUUCGUAGAUCUUUGAUUGUAAUAUAUGUAUCUGUAUUUCAACAGGAAGAAAUCACCCGCAUCCAAAUUUAAUUAAGAAAUAUCUGCACUUUUUCAUAAAUCAACAUUUUUCAUUUUGUAGAAAAAUUUAGAGGGGUUUUCAUAGCACUGCCAUACUUAACAGCAGUCCCCACGUACGGUACGGCCCAUGAUUCCAAUGAAAAUGGAAAUGGAUCUUAUUUUUUUAGUGGAAACAAGAGAUAUAAAAUUUGAAUUUGGAUCUUAUGGAUGGGGAGGAAAUUGAGUUGUCAUAAAAUUAUAAUUGAAAAAAGAAAAAAAAAAGUAUUCACUCAAAUGAAAAUGUUUGCUCAAAACAUGAAAUUGUUUGCUUUUGUUCUCGUGACAUAGCUGCACUUGAAAAUGAAACAGUUGAUAAUGAGUAAUAAUGUCUGGAAUGACGUCGCGAGAAAUAAAGAAGGAAGAGCUUUCAAGUUAUGAACUUUCUUUUCUGUUAAUUUUUAUAUUAUUUAGUUGCUUUAUUAAAUAUUUCUUUUAAACUUAAGGUUACACAAAUUAAGAAUGAAAUUAAAAACAGUGGAAAAAAAUUAAUGUCCAACUUUGUUGGGAAAUUAAAUUUUUGUUGAUCGAUAAGUUCUCUUCUCUUCCAGACAACUUAUGACAGCUUCAAUUGAUCAAUCGUACAAGUUCAGCAUAUAUAAUCCAUAAUUAUAGAGAUUACACAUUCUAAUUUGUAGUAAUGUAAUUAAGAAGUAAAUGGAAGGUCUAACAACUUGCUUAACAAACUGAAACAGAAUCAAAACAGAGGAGGGAAAAUGAAUUUUUUCUGUAUUUGCUUUUCAGCCUCGGAGAGCACAUUAUCCUUUCUGAUUUAUUGUAGAAUUUCUCAAUCAUAACGUUAGGAUUGGUUAUUGUAACCUAUGUGAUGUGGACUAAUUGAAUUUUGUAGAAGGUUUUGAGUGAAAAUUAAUAGAAAAUAUGAUUCUAACUUUUAAGUAUCAAUUUGUCAUAUUAAAAUUUUUCAAAUAUUGGUCUCGAUUAUAAAUUAACAUCUAAUUUUCUACAAAUGCUCUGCAUGUCUCAUUUGUUUUUUAUGAUCACAUAUGUUCGACAUUACAACAUUAAAAUGGUACAUGAAAUUGCAAAUAUCAUGAUCCGAGCUAAGGUGGGUAUUUGCUUCUACUUCUUCUUCUUCAUAUUUAUUACUAAUAUUCUACAAACAAGUCGUUUAUUUGAUGACGAUUUGAACACUGUACAAAAUAAUAGCCGUUUAUAUAUGUAUGUGUGUACACACGCUUCUUUAGUGCCAGUGCCUUAAUUUGUUUUUUAAUGUAGAUAUGCUUUUAGGAUAUGCUAUUUAAGAUUGUUAAUUUUUAAUGGUAAUAAACCGCGCAGCCUUACUGUUCUUUCAAAAAUAACUCUUUAAAGUUGCACUGCUUAAGAGCAUGUCCACAUUAAGAAAAUAAGGGCACAACACCCGAAAAUGAUGACAUACAUACAUACAUACCUACGUGUGUGUGUGUGUGUCAGAGUAUUCUUAAUCUUAAGUUGACCAUCAAUAAUUAAUUGAAAAACAUUGUAAUUACCUAGGACUAUAGACACGAUCACAUUUUUUAUUACCACACCAUUUCUUCAUUCAUAAGUUGAUAUUUAUUAAACUCAAAAACUUUAUUUUAUUGCUAAUUAUUAGAUCUAAAGUUUGACUCUAAAUGAUUUAUAUGAUAGAUUUUAUCACUAAUUAUCAAUUACUUAAAUGUAAUUUAUGGAAGCUUUGAUUAAAAGUUCAAGGAUGGUUUUUGACACAACUCAAAAGUGUUGUUUACUACCAAGUAUAAGAGUAUUUGGUUAUAAUCUAACCCGGUGAGUCUGAGGUUGAACCAGAAGAAGUUUAAAAUCUAGUAGUUAAUUAGUAAACAAAGAAAAUUAAAUGAGGGAAAGGAAAUUAAUAACAAUCAACUUAAAAAUAUGCUACGAUUUCGGGAUCCAUUCUCGGAUUUUAAAUUAUGGAUAUAACACUCUAAUUAUGGAUAUAACACUCUCUCAUAUUUGUAUUUUGCAUUAAUUUUGCCAGUUAAUUAUUAUGUCAUUUAAUCUUAACUAACAAUUAGUGUGAUAAAUAUGAGACCAAGUACCUAAUGUGUUACAACUAUAUUGAAGUGUCGACAUUAUGUCGAAAUACCAUAUAAUCUAAAGAGAUCUAAAUCUAUAAAUUAAUAUGACAUUAAAGUUGUUCAUUCUAAAAUCUAAAUACCCAACUAUGACAUUAAUGUCGUUCAUUCUAAAUUAAUAAGACAUUAAUUUCGAAAAUUGUUCAUUCUAAAAUCUAAAUACCCAACUAUAGAGUUCCCAAGACAUUGUGGAAUUUGUCCAAUUAAGCUAUUGUUAGACAUAAAGAUGGCCAACAAGUUUGAGUGGUGCGUGGCACGACACAGGCAUAAAAUAUUAAGGUCGUAAAAAUCUUAGUUUCAAACAAUAAAAACUCUAAUUGUUUUAUGUUUAUUAAAUAAUUAAAUGAUAUCAUGAUUUUAACAAAUAAAAUUAUAAAUAUCAUGACUUUAUAAAAUGACACAUCUAAACUUUUACAACUUCAAUAUUUUAUUUAUGAAAUCAUAAAUUAGUAAGAAGAAAUAAGCUUCAUUGCAAACGAAAUAUUUUCACCAUUUAUACACAAAAAAUAAAAAUAAAAUUGUGAAUGAAAUGUGUUUUAUGAUAAAUUAAAAGUUGCAUUUUUGGAUAAGAUAAACAGUUAAAUUGUGAGUCUUCACUCUUCAAAGAGAAACCAAAAUGGCGCGAGCUUUGCUUCAUUUGAAUAGCACAGCCACGGCCAUAAUGGCCAGUGCUACAAGUGCUACUAAAGAAACAGUUCUUGUCAGGCUCUCUCCAGGCUCUGCCCCGCCUUCAGAUUGUAGUUGGCUCUCGAAACAGGUGAAAUCAUUAAUACUCUUUUCUUUCUUCUAGUUGGUUCCCAAGAAAAUGCAAGAAAUAAAGGAGAAAAUUUUUUCAAGCUUUGUUACUUUAUGUUAUUUUUAUGAUUACUAUGUUUCUUUGGUUCUUUUAAAAUUUAAAUUCUAGGUGAUGGCUGCAAUGCUUUUACAUAGUUUUGGAAGCACGUUUAAUUAUAAGUGAUUAUCCAUUUAUCCCGCUGUUGUAGAUUAAGGCUCCAUUCGGUAAUGGUAUUGCGCCAUCAUGACUUUUAAGGCACUUCCACUUUUAAACAAGUGCUUUAAUUAUAAAAUAAAAGUUUAUAGUUGUGAAAUUUGUAAUGAGAUGUUUGGAAGUAAAGAAAAUUAGAGAGAAAAGUAAAUGGAAACUUCUCGAUUGAUUUUUGAGUGAUUAUGAAUGAACACAGAAAUGAGCUUAUUUAGCUUUAUUUAUAUCAGUUAACUUCUACUAACUUCUUAACUAACAAAUUAAAUCUAGUAUAGCCUAUUAGCAUUUGCCACGUGGCAAAGUCGUUACAACAAAUGGCGUGGGCUGACUUUGAUUUAGUGCAUCUUUGGGCUAUGAAAUGUUGAAUUUGCCCUUGUUAGCCAUGAGAUUAUAACAAAUUGUUCUUUGUAUGAACCAAUGGGAAGGGAAAAUCAAAUAAGCUUGACUCUUAAUCUUUUCCUUCUCUUGAUGUCUGCGAUACUUUUUGCCAAAUUCCAAUGUCUUCUUGUACAAAAAGUGGGACGCAUUGUUUUGUAUUAAAACGAAUUUGUCACUUUAACACAUUGUUUUCUUGAAUUAACCAAUUCAAUUGGUAAAAUCUCUCGGGUGUAAAAAAGAAGUCUAGAAUUCAAAUCUUCCUAUGUAAAUAAAUAAAUAAAAAAAGAGUUAUCAUUAAUCUACAUUUGAAAAAAAAAAGUUUAUUCAAAUGAAAAUGCUUUUGCUCUCAAGCACAGAAGCAUUAAUAUCCUGCUAAACUGUUGUUCGACUUGCAAGUUUUUGGAUCAAAUAAUAAAGUUUGUGCCUUGAGAAGUUAGUUCAUGGCUGGAAUGUUAUUUCUGAUCUAGAGCCAGCGUCCUGAGAAUAUUUUGCAAUGGGAAAAAGGUGCUGCAAUUGCGUCUACAUUGUUGAAGUUUUCUGAAUUUUCUGAAGUUAACAUUGACAAUAGAAGACUCAUUGGUAGGCAUUAUUCUUUUAUACUAAAUAUAUAAUUGAGUUCACAGCUAUCCAAAAAAUGGGAGAGUUUUUUUUUUUUAUUUAAUUACAAAAUUAUCCUUAUUGAAACCCAUAGAGGAAUAUUUAUACUUAUUAAUUAUAUUACUUCUUCAACUAUCAUCAAAUUCUUAUUUGAGUUCAUUAUUUAAAGAAUAAGUAUGUUAUCUAAAUAAUCUCAUAUAAUGUACUAAACAAAUAUUUUGAGGAACAAGACUCAUUUUGGCUCCUUUUUAUUAGUUAUAUCUUUAAUUUCUUAUUCAUAAAAUUCUCUCGCAUUGUACUAAAAAAAAAAAGAGAAAUUCAGCCCACCCAAAAAAAAAAAAUGUUGUUAGCGUCACCAUUGAAAGGGGCUAAAUUAUGUACUGUUUGACUAGUGAAACUCUUAUCAUGUCUGCUAAUAUGCUGCUUUUGGAUCCCUUAUUCUGAUUUCCAUGGCAGUGAUGGCAGCAGAGCUUGUUCAUAUUGGUAGAAGUGAAAGCAAAUUAAGGAGAGAUAGAGAGACUAAGGUAACCAAAUAGAACGUCCACUAAGUUUAAUAUGGUGAAGUCCUGGAUCAGUCGCUUUGCUGAAAUGAUUUCAAGUAAUCGUCCACUGUGAUUGGCAUUUUUCUCUUAUUUAAGUUUUGGUGAAAGUGACAGGAAGUGUUAAGGAGAAAAGAUCAGCCUAAUUCAAUGCCUAGGGAUGUUACAAUCAUUUUUUAUUACUAAAUAUUUUUAAAUUAGGAUAAUGUAUUAAUGGAAAUUUAUUUUCAUAAUCUAACAAUUGAUUUACAAAAACCAGAAUCCUGAUUAAAUUCAAACUAUAAUUAUAAUCAAUGUCUAUAGGAAAAGGGAAAACGAAAAUCAUAUGUAAGAAAAAUCAUUUCAUGAUGGAGGAAAAUUUACCUUAAUUACUGAUGUGUUUCUCUUCAGGAAUUUUAAUCUCUUCGUACCGAAAUUUAUUUUUGCUUUAAUUUAUUUCUAUAGCUCAUAAGAACUUGCUAUCACAGAACAUAUGUUUUGAUGGUAAACUUGAUCAAAUUUUUGAGGGAAAAAAAAAUUGAUUUGAAAUAAUAUUAUAUUGUUGCAGGAAAAAAAAAAAAGUGAGGGCAACUUUGAUUAGGUGUAUCUUGGGCCACGUACGUAUCAGGAAAAUUAUAUUGCUGCAGGAAAAUAGAUUUUCCAAAAUCUGUCCUUUGACCGACCGAUCCUAUAUGAUCCAUGUUCAAAUUGGCCCCGUAUGUGCCACGUCAACAAUCCAAACUCGGCCACGUCAUCAACUUCAAAAUUCUCGCCACAUCAUCACUGAACUGAUUAGGAAUUACGGCGGAUGACAAUUUGGACAAGCAAAACAGUUGAUAAUUACAAAGAGGGAACACUAAAGGCAGACCAAAGUGGCACGAGCUUCGCUUAGUUGUACUAUACACGUCAUUACAAAAAAAAAAAAUUCGAAACAGAGCUCAAUUUCAAACGAAGAUCCAAAACGCCAGCAUUUUGUACAGCCGUUGCUGAGAGUUUUUUGUUUUUAUAUGCCGCAAAAGUGCUUAUUUUCCAAAUAUAGAUCCCUUCUUACCAUCUUCAAAUUUUUCUUCUCAUUUUUAUUUCACUUUCUCAACUUCAAAAUUCACCUGCAUAAAGAUUUCUGAUUUGGAAUUGGAAUUGUGAUUCUUCACUUUCUGAUCCUUCCUAUGAGUUUCAUGGAUGCGGAAAAUGUAGAAGUACUAGUUUGAAAUUUUAUAAAUUGUUCAAAAAACCACUGUCCAAUAGAUUAUAAGGCUAAGCAACAAGACUUGGUGCUCAAACUAUAAAAAGUAUUAUAAAGACUUGGUAACUCCCUUAUUCACCUGCAUGGCAUAUCUGUUCUUGUGACUUCAAUAAGAAAAAAGAUAGUAUGGAUCAUGUAACUCAGCCUUUUCAACUUUUGAUUUGCCUCCAGUUAUUGCUCUUAUAUCUUCAGUGGACUUGACUGAAAUGAUCAUUAAUGACUAGAAAAAAAUAUCUUAACUUAUAAGGUGGACUUGACUGAAAUGCUAAUUAAUGACUUUGAGAAAGAAAGACUUGUUCAGUUUUUCUAUACAUACCUCUUAAUAUGGACAUAUCUUAGAUCACUAACUUUCAACUUUUCUGAUCCUUCCCAUGAGUUUCACUAUCAUAGCCGUGGAAAAGAAGUUUGGAGUUUUACAAAAUUGGCAAAAAAUAUUAAUUAAGAUUACUGCUCCGCAAUUCAUACAAUUGAAAAGAUCACUUUAGAGCCUUAUAGGGGGAAGGGAUUGAAGGAAAGAUGCCUUUCUAUUUUAAGUUCGGUAGUAAGAAAGAGCAGGCAACUUGGCAUAAGUUUUCAGCUUAAGUUCAUACAGUUGACCAGUUACAUACAUAUAUGAUGACUUAAAAUAUCUGAGAGUUGGGGUUUCUUUUAGUAUAAACGCAUCUGCUUUUGGACAGGUUCGUGGAAAAACUAGAAUAUAUUUUUGAUUUGGUAAAUUAUGUAUUGUUUUGACCAGUUACAUACAUAUAUGAUAACUAAUGGAAGGUCUAACAACUUAGCUUAACAAACUGUAACAGAGUCAAAACUGUAACAUACUUAGAAUAUUUUAUUUGUAUCAUAUGCUAUUUAUUCAUAAUGCCCUCCAGUUAUUACUCUUUGAUAGUCAACUAAUGGAAGGUCUAACAACUUAGCUUAACAAACUGUAACAGAGUCAAAACAGGGGAGGGAAGAUGAAUUGUCACUACAAGAAAAAUGAUAUUUUAUUACAAAAAAAAUUAGUCACUAAAGAUAAUAAAUUAGUCACCUUAUGUUUUUUAUGACAAAAAAUAAAUCGUCACUUGUUAGUCGUAGAAAGACUGCCUUAAAAGGUUAUAGCGACCAAAAUUAUUUUUGUCAUUGAAAAAUGAACUUUUUAUGACUAAACAUUUUGUAUCAAAUUAAAGUUUUAAGAGUCAUAAAUAAUAUUAAAAAAUGACAAAAUAGUGCUUUGAAAACAUAUCCGUGACAAUAUUUCUUAGUCAUUGAAUGUUAAUUUUGGUGAUGAAAAAUAAUUGUCUCCAAUUGUUAAAAUUGGUGACUUUUUUUUGUCGUAGAUUAUAAUCACUGUAGUCUUGUAUGCUUUACUAAGAUUGUAAGUGACUAAUCUUUUUUGUCAUUAGAAAAUAUCACCUGUGACUAAAUUUGAUAGUCACAAAAAGUUACAUCAAAUUAAAUUUAAUGACCAAAAUUUUUAUUUUGGCAAUUAUUUUGUCAAUAUUAAUAAUAACAAUAAAAAAACUACGAACUCUGAUAAGUAAGAAUGUAGGAAUGAACAAAGAAUUAUAAAAUUAAAUAAACAAAAGUUGAUAAAAAAUUAUAAUAUAAUCAAAUAAAUUCAACCACAAAAAUUACAAAUAUCAAUUAUCUAAAAUAAUAUAAUGAGAAAAUUAAAAAGGAUUACUAAUUAUCUUGGUCCUUGGUAAUUAUUGAUGAAUUUAAUGCCAUUUGUAGUUGUCAUGAAAAUUGACUUGAACUUGUCUUUCAUUGUCUUCUUCAAAUGCUUCCAAACUUGUAGAUUAAAGACGUUGGCCUCAACGUUAUCCUACAAUAAAUAUUUUGACAAGAAUAACAUUAUAUACAAAGAAAAUUUUUCAAGUGAAAAUUAAAAUAACAAAUAAUUAAUUUGUAACCAAAAAGUACAACCUUACAAAUACUAUAAUAGCAAAUUAUAUGUUAUUCUUUAAGCCAAUAUAUUUCUCUGUUACUUAUCUCUACUUGAAAUUUCACAAGUAUCCGUUGGCCAUAAUAAUUGAAAUCCAGUGCAUGCAACAAACUAGAUAAUAAUGAAAUUAAAUAGAAAAAGAGAAAGUUUAAAUAAAACUUCUGCCUUCUCUAACUUCUCAGCUAUUACUUUCUUUUCAGCUUAUAUUUUCUUUUAACGCCUUUCUCUUCUCUCCUUGUUCAUGCUUGAAAGAAAUCACAUGAAAUUUAUGCACCUAAGAAACUUGACAAGCUGCCAAUCUUAACAAGCACUAGAAGGUGGUCCAUAUAAAUAAAUAUUCUUGCAAUAUUAUUAAGGCUAAAUGGCUCACCAAAUACAAGAGAUGUUUGAUCCCACAAUUCAAUUGAAGAUUCAAAUACUUCAAUAGAAAAUCAGCUCCAACUGCAGUCUCGCAAACAAAAAUCCACUCUCAAUUUUCUAUCCAAUUAAAGCUCCAGUCAUGGCUCCUAUGAAGGUGCCCACUACAUGCAAUAUACAAACGCCAAAUAAAAACCUAACUUUUGGAUAGAAUUAAAGUAAAAAAUAGAAUGUCCAAAACCAUUUUUUUAUAUGCUCAAUUGAUUCCACAAAAAUUAAGAUUCUACAAAAAUGGCAUUCAUGAUGCAUAAAUCAAAUUUAAAUUUCAUUUACAUACAAUCAAACUAGCCAUAUUUAUGAAAUCCCAAAUUAAGCAAAAACCCACAUUACAGAACAUAAUCAAAUAUAAGAAAACAUAUACCAGUCAAUAAAGAAAAUUAACAACCGUUAAUGAGAAUUCACAAAGCAAUUACAUAAAUGAGAUUUUUUUUCAAAAAAAAAAAAUAUUGCAAAAUUGCAAAAUUCUUUAAGCCUUUCAAAGAAAUUGUCACACAAAUACAAAGAUGACAUAGAAAAUGAGAUGGUAAAGCGUCAUAUUCCAUUAUUAAUUUCUCCCAAAAUAAAUAGUUGUAACAAUUCAAUUCUUUGUGCAAAAACAAAAGGCUCAAAUGAGGCACUUUAUUUAUAAAGAAAAGAGAUGAAUUUUCAUAAGGAUACAAAUACUUAUGGUAAACCAUAUCUACAAACUCCCCUGUCCUGUACGACGGCUUCAAGCCGUUUCUUGGCUAUGGUGUAAAUAACAGAAUCAAAAACACAUAUCGUUAGGUGAAGCUUCCAUAGUCCUUAGUCAAUAAUCACCAACUAACCACUGUUUGAAUUUGGAUCCAAUGGUGAUGACUUUAUUAUUAAAAAAGCCGAUGUCCCCUUUAAACUCAAUCACUCCCAAAAACUCUCACUUUAAUCAAAACUCUUUGUUACUUCACUAGAUUUUCAACAACCAUGUCCAUAAUUUUGCAAACCCAAGCCUUUGUAGGCAAUCCUAUACGAUCCAAGACCCCUAAAUCAAUUGACCCAUUUUCUCCAACCUCGACUCUUGGGUAUAGUGAGCGUGAGUUUUGCUUACUAGAUACUACAACUCCCGAUUAUGGCCACUGGAAAUCAAAUCAGUGUUGAGGUGGCUGGUUGGCUACAACAAUUGGCUAUUAGACAUCUAGGGUUUUUUAUUUUUAAGCGAUCCAUCUCCUUUCUUUGUUUUUUUUUUUUUGGUUCUAUUCUCCCUUUUUCUUUUUAUUGUUUCUCACGAUCUCUUUUUUUUUUUUUUUUUGUCUUUUUGGUUUUCUCUUUUUACUUUUUUAUUUUAAUUACCGAUGUUAUAAAAAAAAAUUAAAUGACUGAUGUUAUAAAAAAAAUUUUAGUUACUCGUUUCCAAAUUUAUUUUUCUUGUUUAGUCACUACAAGUAAGUAUUUAUGACAGCAAAAAUGGUUUUGAAAUUAGUGGAAAUCAAACCGCUAGAGUGACUAAUAUGUUGUGUCUCAAUAAACAUUAUUUAGUUACGAAAUAUAGUUGUUGCUUAUAAUUAUAUUUUGCAACCACAUAUUUUGUCACAAAAGGUUAUGUAAUGUCUCAAAUUACUGAAUUUUGAAAGCAAUUAUUUAGCACUUAAAAAACUAUAUUAUUUUGCGACUAAUCUAUCGUUUGUCAUAAAAAAAGUAAUUCAAAGACCAAUUAAUGCGUCUAAAAAAGAGAAUUAAUGUUUGUAAAAUAUAACUUUAGUCAAGACGAGACUAUUAGUGACGAUUUCAAAAGUUUGUCACUAUAAUUACUAUUCCAUGACCAAAUUUUCGAAUGUCAUUAAAAAAAUUGUCUUAAAAAGUCUAAUUUCUUGUAGUGUGUGUUUGUGUAAAUGACUGUUAGUCUAGCUAGCUGUUACACCGGCAAAUAUGACAGAUAACGAACAUCUCGCCGAGCUUAAGUAAAUAUCUAAAUGGUUAUUGAUUGGAUACAGCUUCAGCUUUUGGACUGGUUUGUGGAAAUUGAAAAAAUUUGAAAAGUGUUCCUCUUGAAGAAUCAAAGUCUACUUUAUACGUAAAGAAAGGGGAUCCCAGUAAAGAUAAUCCAUCAAUGUUCAGUUACAUUCGAGCGUGUUGACUACUUUCAGGAUGAAAGACUUCUGUUGUCCCAAGGAGUUUAAUCGAGUGAUUUUUUAAGUAUUCCACUGACCAACAUGAGAUUCCAAAGCAAGACUUGGUUCCCUAAGUCAAUAAGUAUCGAGGGGUCCACACGCAUUUGCGCGAGACCUCGCUGAGUUUUGCGAGGUCCAUACAUACUGAAUAGCUUACCUCAGAAUCUUCACCUGCUGACGCGAGAAUGUUUAGAACCUUUGAGGAUGCAAGGCCAGUUACACUCCCCUUAUGAACAAAUUCAGUGGCAGCCUUCCUCAAACAUUUGCAAAAAGUUGUGUCUUGACAAGUCUUAACCUCAAUGGCAAUUGGUUGGAAGGACCGAUGCCUCCAUCUUUGGUUAACUAUCGGCAUUAUAAGCUGGUUUAUGUAUUGUUCAUGGAGUAGAUAACCAGCUGAUAUGUUUCAUAUUCUAACAGUUGAUAUACAAAAAUCCCAAUCCUGAUUAAAUUCAAAUUAUGUUUAUAAUCGGCAUCUAUAGUCUAUAGAGAGAAAGAAAAUGAGGGUCAUAUAUAAGAAAUCAAUGAUAGGACGUGUUCUCUUGAUCAGGAAUUUUAGACUUUUGGAAGCUAGUAGUGGAAGUCAAAUAAUCUCCAGGUACCAAAAUAUGUUUUGCUUUCAUUUCCAUUGCAUAAGAACAUGAUAUCACACACUUACAUUUUGAUGGUUAACUUGAUCAAAAUUUUCAGGAAAAAGUUAUUUUAAAAAUAAUUUUGAUGUAGGAAUGAUUUGGGGUGAAAUUCAUUUGGUGCCAUUUAGGCCACAUUUUUUCAAUUGGGCGUAUGGUAUAUACUUUUUCAAAGCUGGUAACAAGAUGAACAAUGUUGCCCAUUUGCCUUUGAGUCUGAUGCCCGUGGGGCUUUUACGAAAUUGUACAAUUUCAGGACUCAAAAUCGCAUUUGAAGUUAUUUCAAAUUCCAGCACUUCGGGAAAUUUCUAAGAUUUGUACUUUACUACUUUUAUUUUCAUAACCAAUUCUUAUUUUCUUAACACAUUUUGGAGAACAUACAACUGAAAUCAUUUUUACCUAAUAACCCAGCAAAAAGCUACUACAUCUCACAAUGUUGACCUCUGGGCUAAUCAAGCAUUUGACUUUCCUAAUACAAUUUAUCACAAAACGAUUAUCCCUUUUCAUAUUUUAAGUUCAGUAAUAAGAAUGAGGGGGCACCUUCCAAAUGUAUGCACCUUUUUUAGUUUUAUCCCACAAAACUUUAUCACAAAACAAUGGCCUUUUCAUAUUUUCAGUUAUUGCUCAAUCCCUUCACAAAAAAUUAUGCACAUUUACAAGGGAUAGAAAAUUGAAAAGAAAAUUCUCGAUAAGAAAACAGUUGAAUAAUCAAAUUUCGAGUCUUUGGUGGACGUUAUUCUUUUAUACAUAAUAUAUCUUUGAGUUAAACAAUUAUUAAAACAUUGGGGCUAGUUUUUCAUUUAACUACAAAAUUACUUUUUUUGAAACCCAUAAAACCAUUUUUAAGUGGUAAAUUAGUUCUAUUACGUCUUCAACUAUUACCAAAUUCUUAUUCGAGUUCACCAUUUUAGUGGUAAAUGCGUUAUCUAAAUAAUUUCAAAUGAUGUAUUAAAUAAAUAUUUUGAGGAACAAUGCUCAUUAUGUCUCCUCUCAUUAAUUGUAUUUUUAAUUUCUUUUUAAAAGAUUCUCUCAUAAUCAAUUAAAAAAAAUUCAGCCACCCCAAAAAAAAAAAAAAAAAAAAAGGUAUUUAGCUUCGCGGCUGAAUGGGGCUAAAUUGUGUAUUGUUUGACUGGUGAAACUCUUACCACAUCGACUAAUAUGCUGCUUUUGGUAGUGGCAGUGGUGGCAGCAGAGGGACUAAUUAAGGUUUAUUAUGGUGAAGUCCUGGGUCAGUCGCUUUUGCUGAAAUGAUUGCAAGUAAUCUCCCACUAUGACUGCCAUUUUUAUCUUAUUUAAAUUUCGGUGAAGCCCAUCCACAUAAAAUAAUUGGCAGGAAGUGUGAAUGAGAAAAGAUCGUCCUAAUUCAAUGCCUGGGGAUGCUGCAAUCACUUUUUAUUACUAAAUAUUUUUAAAUUGGAAUAAGGUAUUAACGGAAUAAAAUUUUUCAUAAUCUAACAACCCGAGUCCUGAUUAAAUUCAAAUAAUAAUUAUAAUCAACAUCUAUAGGAAAAUGGAAGACGAGAAUCAUAUGUAAAAAGAAAUCAUUUCGUAUGCCCAUUACCGUAUUAUUAUUUGUACAUUAGAAAUUAAUAUAAAAUAAUAAUUUAAUAAUUAAUUUAAUAUAAUUAAUAAUAAAGCAGUAAUAAAUUUAAACAAUAUUAAUACAAAAUUAAUAAAGUAUAAUCUAACAUUAAAUACUAUACAAUAUUAUUAUAAUAAAAUACUAAUUCAAUACCACAUAAAGUAAUAUACUUGCAUUAUUUGGAACUGGCAUAAAGUAAAAUUAAUAAAGUAUAUCAACGCACAUGGAAAAUGCGACUUUUGAAGAAUGUAGUAAAUGGAAGGUUAAAUAGACUUCGUGCAUGCUGUAAAUUUAAAUGAAUCAUAAUUAAUUUCAAAAGGUAGUAAAUGGAAGGCCGAACAACUUUUUUAACAAACUGAAACAGAAUUAAAGCAGAGGAGGGAAAAUCAAUUGUGCUUUGUUGCAUAAUGUAUAUGACUGACUGACUGACUAACUAACUAACUACGAGUUUAGCUGCCUGCCACAUUAGCAUAAUAUAACACAUAACUAAUAUCAUUCCGCGUCGAGCAUGUCGUCAAGAUCCCCCUCUUGAAAGGAUUCCACUUACCACCUAAAUUCCAAAGCAAGAAGACUUGGUGCUGUAAGUCAAUAAAUAUUAUAUUAUUAAUUAAUUACACACCAUAUUCAACUUCUAUAAAUAAUAGUCAUUAUAUCUCUCUCUCUUCUUGUGAUUUCAUCAUCCAGAAAAGAAAAAGAAAAAGAAAAAGAAAAUGGGUUAUAUCACUCAGCCUUAUCAACUUUUUAUUUGCCUCCAGUUAUUGCUCUUCUAUUCUCAGUGUUCAGCAAUACUUUGCUCUCACGACCAAAGUUCUGCUUUACUCCAAUUUAAGCAGCUCUUUUCCUUUCAAAACCAUUCCUCAUUUGCUUGUGAAAUAUUUCAACAAAUAUCUCGUCCAAAGAUGAUGUCUUGGAAAGAGGACGCUGAUUGCUGCUCCUGGGAUGGAGUAACAUGUGAUUCGGCGACGGGUCACGUGAUUGGCCUCGACCUCAGUUGCAGUUGGCUUCACGGCAACAUCCCUUCCAACAGUAGCCUUUCCUUGCUUCCUCGCCUGCGAAAGCUCAACCUGGCCUUCAAUGAUUUCAAUUACUCUAAGAUUUCUUCUGGUUUUACUGAUCAAUUUCCGAGUUUGACACUCCUUAACCUCUCUACCAGCAAUUUCACGGGGUCAAUUCCUGCCUCACUAGGUAACAAUAUUACACAACUUGCUUAUUUGGAUCUUUCGUAUAACAGUUUUAGUGGUCACAUUCCAUCAUCUUUUUCAAAUCUUCAGCAGCUUCGUCAUUUAGAUCUUAUGGCCAAUAAUUUUGUUGGUGAAAUUCCUACAUCAUUAGGUAACAAUGUUACACAACUUGCUUAUUUGGAUCUUUCGUAUAACAGUCUUACUGGUCACAUUCCAUCAUCUUUUUCAAAUCUUCAGCAGCUUGGUUAUUUAAAUCUUCAGGACAAUAAGUUUGUUGGUAAAAUUCCGGAUAUGUUUACCAACCUAACCCAACUUUCUCUUUUAGGCUUGGCAAAUAAUCAACUGAUUGGCUCGAUUCCAAGUUCAAUCUUUGAACUUUUGAAUUUGACAUAUGUCUCUCUUUCUUUUAACAAUUUCAGUGGCAGCGUUGAGCUUUACGAUUUUGCAAAGCUCAAAAAUCUUAAAUUUCUUUCUCUUUCUAAUAUUAGUUUAUCAGUGAGCACCAAAUUAACAGUCAACUCGUCUUUCCCUAAUCUUCUGGGGUUGCGUUUAUCGGCUUGCAAUAUAAGUGAGUUUCCAGACAUCUUGAGAACUCAACAUCAGUUAGAGUGGUUGGGCCUUUCUAAAAACCAAAUCCAUGGUAGGAUUCCCAGUUGGAUGUGGGAUAUUGGAGUACAUACUUUGUGUUUUCUAAUUCUUUCACAAAACUUCCUGACAAGCAUAGACCAUCUUCCGUGGAAAGUCUUAAACUUAAUGGCAAUCGGUUGGAAGGACCAUUGCCUCCAUCUUUGGUUAAUUGUCGACAUUUGGAAGUUAUAGAUGUUGGGAACAAUCAGAUUAAUGACACCUUUCCCUACUGGUUAGACGUUCUUCUUGAAUUGCAAGUUCUUAUAUUGCGUUCUAAUAGAUUUUGGGGUCCUAUUGGUGAUACCAAAACAAGAGUUCCCUUUCCCAAGUUGCGAAUAAUUGAUUGCUCUCACAAUCAACUCACCGGUGUUUUGCCACUACGGUAUUUGGAUAGUUUUAAAGCCAUGAUGCAUGGGGAUAACAAUAGUGUUGAAGUCGGUUAUAUGAGGUGGCGGUAUUCCUCUAAUUACUAUGAGUCAAUAUUUCUGACUAUGAAAGGCAUUGACUUACAAAUUGAGAGGAUUCUAAAGACUUUUGCAACUAUUGAUUUGUCCAGCAAUAGAUUGUUAGAAAAUUGGUGGGUGAAGCAGGACCGCAGCUAAAAUGAAUUUGGAAGGAAAUAAAGAACAAGCACAAUAGAGGACACCAGGAAUUAUGUGGUUUGGCUUUUAACCUACGUCCACGGGCGAAAACAGAAGAAAAAUAUUUCACUAGUGAAAUAAAGAUUACAAGUAUUGUAAUAUUUUAGCUCACUACCCAAAACCCCAAUACACCCAAUCUAGGGGUGGGCAAAAAAAGUUGAUUAAUCAAAAAUCGAACCGAACCGAUCGGUUCGGUUUAGUUUUUAUGCGGUUUUUUUACCUCUAAAAAACCGAAAUAGUAGUAUAAUAUAAAUAGUAAAACCAAUCGGUUCGGUUUUCGGUUUUUUAAAAAAAUCAAAAAACCGAACCGGAAUCUCAAAUAAACCGAUUGUAAAAAAACCCUAAAGCUUAAAUCUAAACACUUCUGACUUCUGUCUCCCGCUGGCUGCUGCUCUGUUCGCUGGCCGCUUCUUCUGUUCCCGCUGUCCGCUGCUCGUCGUGACCUUCAACCAAAAGCAAAAACCGAACUCGUGAGUCGUGACCUUCAGCCACAGGCUCGAGUCGUGACCUUCAGCCACACUUCUGUCUUCUUCUGUCCCCUCUGCUCGUCGCCGCCGUUGCUCGUCAGUCGUCACUACUGCUGCUGCCACUGUCACCUGCCGUGUGAACUGUGAAGAUUGGUAUUUGUUUUCUGGAAGUUUAUCUCUCAGCAACCUUACGAAGUUCUCCUUUCCUUCACUCUCGAUCGCCUUCACAAUGUAAAAAAAAAAAAAGUUUUGAUUUCAAUCGAAGUUCUUCAGUGAUGGAAGCGGAUUGAUAUUGUUAUUUCUUGUAAUUGAAAGGAACCGGAACUUCUUCGAGUAAAUGCAAGAUUUGGUGAUAUUUAAUUUUUGUGAUUUUGUAAUUGAAAGGAACCGCUGCUGAAAUGUUUCAUGUUUGUACCUGUGUUACGGAAAUGGAGAAUUUAGAUAACCAUCAAAUCAUGAGUGGUAAUAAUGGAGAAUUUAGACAGUUCUCCAAUUAACUGUCUUUGGCAUUUCCAAUUAACUCUGUCUCUCUCUGCACCUUUUGCCUUGACUUACUGUCUUCUUCGCUUUUGUUUAUGCUUUCACUUAAACUUUCAGCUUCCAUGAUCAUUAUGGUGCCCAUAAAAUGCUUUACUUUCUAUGAAAAUUUGCCUGUUGGGUUGGCCAUUUAUAUUUGUACGUGGCUAGUCGAAGAAUUGCAGGUCCUCGAGUUCUUUACAUUUAAUUAGUUACAAUUCUUAAUUUAAUUGCAGGACUUGAAGUACUUAUAUAAGACAAUCAAGUCAUAUUAUUGUUGCAUGUUGCCAUGUUGAUGGGAUUCUCACUUUCUCAGUCUGGAAGGCUGCUUAAAUGGAAAUCCAAUUGAUGAAUUUGUGUACUGUGGAUUAAUAUUUUCUUCCUCAAAACAUUUUAUCCUCUUAGAAAUUAAGAUUGUAGCAAGCUUUUUUUAUUUUAUUUUACAAUUUUUGUUUGUUAACUUUUUAUAUUUGUGGUAGAUUUAUUAAUUUAAGGUUUUAAAUUUAAAAAAAUCCAAAAUAGGUCCAAUAGGUCCAUAAUCGAAAUAAUCGAACCGAACCGAAUCGAAUUAUUUUGAUUAAUCGAGUAUUUGAUUAUUUCAAUAAUUUGAUUAAUCGCGAUUAUGAUUUUAAAAUAAUCGUAAUCGAACGAUUAUGAAAAAAUUAGUAAAAAACCGAACCGAACCGAACUGCGUCCACCCCUAACCCAAUCUCUUACUCACUAGACACUCAAGAGUUUAUUAAACUCUUAAUACUCCCAACACUAAAAGAAAGCAAUGCUUGUCUCUCGAUGGAAUUGGAUACAAGCUCUAGAUUGAGAGCUUGUAUUUAUAGGCAAAACUUUGCCUCAAAUGUCAAACAAGUGGCCAUAAACUUCAAGCCAUACAACUCAAAAAUUUCAAACUUUGAAUUUUUAGCUUUGAAUUUUUCUUUUCUUUUACCAAACAUCACGGCAUCUAGAAUUUCAAAGCCAAGUGCCAACCAUUCUUGUUUAUUCAAAGCUUCUAGAUGCAGCCAAUUUUGACAUUCUCCCACUUGGAGAUUAAAUUGAAAAACAAUCAAUCUCCACACCAUCCUUUCUGCUUCGCCAUAAUUAUAUUGCCUACGUUUCUGCUAGGCGACAAGAGGAUCUACUCCAGAUAAACUUGUCAGCAUUUAUCGGCUUGGUCAAAACAUCUGCUAGGUUCUCUUUGGUAUGGAUUUUCUGCAAAUCCACACUUCCAUCUUCCACUACUUCUCGAACGAAGUGAUAUUGAACUCCUAUGUGCUUUGUCCUGGAAUGAAAGGCUGGAUUCCUUGCAAUGUGCAAGGCACUCUGACUGUCACAAUACACAAGAAUUUUAUGUUGUUUGUGCCCGAGCUCCUCCAAUAAUCUUUGUAUCCAAAUAGCUUCCUUGCAAGCUUGUGUAGCUGCCAUGUAUUCUGCUUCUGUUGUAGAUAAAGCCACAACGGUCUGCAGUUUAGAAACCCAGCUUACAGCUGCUCCUGCAAGUGUAAACACAUAACCAGUAAUGGAUUUUCUUUUAUCAAGGUCUCCUGCAAAAUCUGAAUCCACAUAGCCCCUGACAGUAAACUCUGAUCCUCCAUAACAUAAUGCAACAUUUGAGGUUCCUCUGAUGUAUCUCGGAAUCCUCUUCACAGCUAUCUAAUGCUCUCCACCAGGAUUCGUCAUGUAUCGACUGACUGCUCCCACUGCUUGUGCAAUGUCCGGUCUUGUACAUAUCAUAGCGAACAUUAAACUUCCCACUGCUAAUGCAUACGGUACUCGAGACAUCUCCUUCCUCUCCGCUUCAUUGCUAGGACACAUACUUGAGGAUAAUUUGAAAUUAACAGGAAGUGGGGUAGAAAUUGACUUACAAUCUUGCAUGUUAAAGCGUCGCAAGAGUUUCUUCAAGUAAUUCUUCUGCGAAAGUCAAAUCUUCCUGUUAUUUCUGUCUCGGUGAAUUUGCAUCCCUAGAAUCUUGUUUCCUGGUCCCAAGUCCUUCAUUUCAAACUCCCUAGCCAACUGUGCCUUCAAUUCUUGGAUUCGAUCUUUGUUGGGACCUGCUACCAACAUGUCAUCCACAUACAACAACAAAAUAAUGAAAUCAUUAUCUUCAAACCUCUUGUAAUAUGCACAAUGGUCUGAAUUGAGUCUGUUGUAUCCAAGGCUCAUGAUGAAGGAAUCAAAUCUCUUAUACCAACACCUCGGCAUCUGUUUGAGACCGUAUAGAGAUUUGUUCAACAUGCAAACCAAGUUCUCAUUUUCUAUUUCUGCAAAACCUUCUGGUUGGAGCAUAUAUAUUUCUUCUUCAAGUUCUCCAUGAAGAAAUGCAGUUUUCACAUCUAACUGCUCUAGAUGUAAGUCAAAUGUAGCACACAUCGCCAAGACUACUCUGACUGUUGUGAGUCGAACCACCGGAGAAAAUAUCUCAUUGAAGUCAAUACCUUCUUUCUGAGCAUAUCCUUUCACCACCAAUCUCGCACGAUACCGCUCCACUUGGUCAUUACCAUCACGUUUGAUUUUGUAGACCCAUUUGUUUCCAAUGACUUUUCUUCCACGUGGUAAUGGUACAAGUUCCCAUGUCUUGUUCUUAUGUAGAGCUUCAAUUUCUUCCUGCAUUGCUGUCAUCCACAAAGCAACAUCUGAGCUUUCUAAAGCUUCAUGGAAAGUUGAUGGCUCUCCAUCCUCUGUUAGAAGACAAUACGCAAUAUUGAUCUCUGUGACAUACUCUGAGUGCCACACUGGCGGUCGUCUAUCACGAGUUGACCGAUGAACUUCUAGAGCCUCAGACUCGACUGGUUCUUGUUCCUCGUGCUCUGGUGCUGCUUCAGAAGAAUCUAAAUCUUCUGGAUUAUUUUCGACAUAUACCGGUACAGUCUCUGAUUUUUCUUUUGCAGUGCUAUCAUUCUCAUCUCUCAUUUGCAGUUGAUCUUCUACAAAGAUAACAUCUCUGCUGAUGACGAUCUUGUGGGCAGUGGGGUCCCACAGACGAUACCCCUUUACUCCAUUAGCAUAUCCCAAGAAGAUACAUCUUCUAGAUUUUGCAUCCAGCUUUGUUCUUUCUUGGGCAUUGUACAUCACGUACACAGGACAUCCAAAUGCAUGUAGGUAGGAAUAAUCAGCUGGCUUUCCAGUCCACAUCUCCAUCACUAUCUUCAGCCCAAUUGCUGUAGAUGGUGAUCAAUUUACUAUAUAACAGGCAGUUUUGGCUGCUUCUGCCCAGAAUGAAUUGGGUAGACCAGCAGUCCUCAACAUAGCUCGUAUUCUUUCUGUAAGAGUUCUGUUCAUCCGCUCUGCCACUCCGUUUUGUUGAGGAGUGUAUGCCACCGUGAACUGCCUCUGAAUACAUUCUUGCUUACAGAAAGCAAGAAACUCGCCGUCUGUAUACUCUCCACCAUUAUCCGUCCUCAAGCACUUGAUCUUUUUACCAGAUUCAAGUUCCACCCGCGAUUUGUAUUCUUUAAGCACAGGAAAUACAUAUGACUUUUUCUUAAUUGGAUACACCCAACAUCUUCUGGAAUAAUCAUCAAUGAAAGUCACCAUGUACUUUGCACCUCCCAUGAAUAUAUUCGGUGAUUCCCAAACAUCAGAAUGAAUCAAGUCUAGAAUGCAUUUACUUCUAGCAAUAGAUCUACUGAAUUUUAAUUUAUGCUGCUUACUUAUAACACAAUGCUCACAAAAUGGUAAACUUACCGAUUUGAGCCCCGAAAGUAAUUUUCGCUCAGAGAGAAUCUUCAAACAGUGUUCUGACAUGUGACCAAGUUUGAGAUGCCACAUCAUCGUUGACUCUUCUCCAUUUGAUGCGACACACGCAUCAGCCUCCUGUAGUGUUUCUCCUUUAAGCAUGAAUAAAUUAGCACCGCUCUUUUCUGCCUUUAUCAAUACAAGCGCUCAUUUAACGAUCUUCAUAAUUCCAUUCUCCUCAUGAGUUUUGUACCCAUGACUAUCCAUUUGUCCCAAAGACAAUAGAUUUUUCUUCAGGCCGUUGACAUGUCGUACCUCUCCUAUUGUGCGAAUUGUACCAUCAAAUAUUUUUAUUUUGAUAGUACCAAUAUCAGCGAUCUCCAAGGCAUGAUCAUCUCCCAUAUAUACAGAUCCUCCUUAAAUAGGUUCAUAUGUGUGGAACCAUUCUCUCCGGGAGGUCAUGUGCCAGAUAGCUCCUGAGUCUAUAAGCCAGACAUCAUAUAGUCGUUUUAUGCCUUCUGAAAUAGUUGUUGCCUCGCUGUAAAGAAUUUCGCCAUCAUCUGAGGUACUUGCUACACACCCCUGAGCAUUUGAUGACUCAGGUUCUUUACCCUCUCUUCUCUUCUGAUUACUCCAACACUCCUUUUUAACGUGCCCUUUCUUGCCAUAGUUGUAGCAUUUAACAUUCUUCUUACUUCUAGAUUUUGAUCUACCAUGAUUUUGACUCCCACUAGGGCCACGUUCCGUUGAUCUCCCUCUCAUCACCGAUAGCGCCUCCGCUUGCUGCGAACUUGCUUGUCUAUUUUCCUUAUUUUUCCGCCUGCUCUCGUCAUUUAAUACGGAGGCUGCAACAUCGUCGAAAACUAGACUGUCCACUUGAUUGUUGUUCGUCAGGUUGAUGAUAAGUUGAUCAUACGAAUCUGGUAGACUUUGAAGUAGAAGCUCUGCACGUUCAUUUUCCUCUAUAUUAUGACCCAACGUUGUGAGUUGUGAAAAUAGAGUCUUCAAGGUGUUGAUGUGGUCGGUCAUAGAUUCCGUCAUUCGAAGAGUAUAGAGUUUUCUCUUCAAGAAGAUUUUGUUGUGUAGUGACUUGGCCUCGUAUAAUUUUGUAAGAGUAUCCCAUAUUUCCUUCGCUAUAUUUUUCUCUACCACACUGGAUAAUACUCCAUCUGCAAGUGCCAAGUGUAGAUCAGAAAUGGCGUUGCCAUCUAUCUCGUUCCACUUGUCAUCGGUUAUCUCUAUGGGCAUUUCUCCAAUUGCUGCCAAGCAAUUAUUUUUCCUUAAUACAACUUUCAUCUUCAUUUUCCACAACGAAAAAUUAUUUCCGUUAAACUUCUCAAUUUUAUACUUUGCCGCCAUUUUGUUGAUAAAUAUCGCACACAAGUUAGUGUACCACCUUGAAUAGUUGUGAGUAUGUGUGAGAAUGCACACCAAGAAAGUUCCUAGGAAAGACUGGAGGGGUCACAAUGGUCCCACUUAAAACCCAGACUCCUUAAGCUCUUAUCGCCCUUGUGACAGAACUUUCCUAGACAUGUACAAAAACCACACAGUUGUUUUACUCACACCACUAUUCCCUACUUUGCACCGCAAAAUUCUUGGAUCGCUCCCACCGUUUCACGUGAAUAGUACCGUAUACGUGAACAAUACCGUAUACGUGAAUAGUGCCGUAUACGUGAACAGUACCUGACUCCAAAAAAUACAACCAAUAGCUCUGAUACCACUGUUAGAAAAUUGGUGGGUGAAGCAGGACCGCAGCUAAAAUGAAAUUGGAAGGAAAUAAAGAACAAGCACAAUAGAGGACACCAGGAAUUACGUGGUUCGACUUUUAACCUACGUCCACGGGCGAAAAUAGAAGGAAAAUAUUUCACUAGUGAAAUAAGGAUUACAAGUAUUGUAAUAUUUUAGCUCACUACCCAAAACCCCAAUACACCCAAUCUCUUACUCACUAGACACUCAAUAGUUUAUUAAACUCUUAAUACUCUCAACACUAAAAGAAAGCAAUGCUUCUCUCUCGAUGGAAUUGGAUACAAGCUCUAGAUUGAGAGCUUGUAUUUAUAGGCAAAACUUUGCCUCAAAUGUCAAACAAGUGGCCAUAAACUUCAAGCCAUACAACUCAAAAAUUUCAAACUUUGAAUUUUUAGCUUUGAAUUUUUCUUUUCUUUUACCAAACAUUACGGCAUCUAGAAUUUCAAAGCCAAGUGCCAACCAUUCUUGUUUAUUCAAAGCUUCUAGAUGCAGCCAAUUUUGACAUAGAUUUCAAGGGAAAAUUCCAGAAGUAGUGGGAAAGUUGAAUUCACUCAAAAGUCUCAACAUUUCUCACAACAACCUGACAGGUGGUAUUCCUUCAUCGCUGAGAAAUCUGACAGAGCUUGAAUCUCUAGACCUCUCUUCAAACAAGCUUGCUGACGUAUCCCAACACAACUAGCGAGUCUCAAUUAUCUUGCGGUGUUGAAUCUUUCGAACAACCAGCUCAAAGGACCCAUACCAGGAGGACCCCAAUUUAAUACAUUUGGAAUUGAUUCCUAUUCUGGUAACUCGGGGCUGUGUGGAUUCCCAUUCUUAAAAAGCUGCAACAUUGAUGAGGCACCAAAACCAACAACACCAACAUGAUUUAUCGAAGGAGACGAUGCUUCAAGCUGGUUUGAUUGGAAGCUCGCUAUGUUGGGUUACGCAUCUGGAGUGGUGAUCGGCUUGUCCAUCAGAUACAUGGCAUUUUUGACUGGAAGGCCACAAUGGUUUGUAAGAAUGAUCGAAAGGAAGCAAUCCAGGAAGCUGAGAAGGGUGAUCAGACGAGGCAGAGCUGGUAGAAGAAGUUUGUUGGUGCAUCUCUAAAGGCCCAAGUGAGUAAUUAUUAGUUUGUCUUUUGGAAUUAUAAGCUGGUUUCUACUGUUCUUUAAGUAGAUAGCAUGUUGAUAUUAUCGUAAUCUAACAGUUGACUUGCAAAAAUCACAAUCCUAAUUAAUUUCAAAUUAUGCUUAUUAUCAACAUCUAUAGUGAGAAACAAAAUGAGGAUAAUGUAUAAGAAAGAAAAUUUUAACUGAAUUAUUGAUGCGAUUGUUUUUACUUUUAUUGCCAUUUCAUUAGAACAUGUCGUCACGGAUGUACAUUUUGAUGGUAAAAUGAUUUGAAGUAAUAUUGUUGCAGGAAAUUGUGCGGGGGUAACUUUGGUUUGUAAUCAUGUACUUCAAAUUUGGGCGUAGAACGUGCUAUUUCAAAGUUUGUGAGCAGACAACGUUAACUGUUGGCAUUUGGAAGUUUUUGAUAAUAAAAAUGAUCAUGUUAAUAAUAUCUUUCUUUAUUGGUUAGAAAUUAUUCAUAAAUUGUAAGUGCUUAUAUUACGAUCUAACCAAUUUCGUGAUGCCAUUGGCCAUAUUAAAACAAGAGUUCCCUUCCCCAAGUUGCGAAUAAUUGAUCUCUCUCAGAAUUAACUCACUGGUGUUUUGCCAACUCAGUGUCUUGAAAAUUCUAAAGUCAUAAUGCGUGGGGAUAACAAUAAUGUUGAUUUCAACUCUUACUAUGAAUUAAUAAUUGUGACCAUAGAAGGAACCGACCAACAAAUGGAGAGGAUUCUAAUCAUUUUCAUGCCAAUUGAUUUGUCGAACAAUCAAUUUCGAGGAAAAUUUUAGAAGUGGUGAGAUAACUUAAUUCACUUAAAUGUCUUAACAUUUUUCACAACAAGCUGACAAGUGGCAUUCCAUCAUUGUUGGGAAAUCUGUCAGAGCUUGAACCUUUUGACUUCUCCUCAAACAAGCUUAUUGGGAUGAUUCCAAUGCAAUUGGCGAGUCUGAAAUUUCUUUUCUUGCUAAAUUUUUUGUACAACCAGCUUGAGGGACAUCAACCUCAAGGACCUCAAUUAACUACAUUUUCAAACGAUUUUUAUACUGUAAACUUGAGGUUGUGUGGUUUUCAUUAUCACAAAGCUGUAACAUUGAGACAUUAGAACUGUUACUAACAAGAUUGGACAAAAGAGAUAAUAAUUCGAGCUGGUUUGAUUGGAAGUUCGCUAAGAUGACCAAUGAACCUAGUGGCCUAUGGCUAGACACAGGUACAGCACAUGGCACAAUACAGGCAGAGUUUCAUUAGGGUACCAGAACAACAUGUGUCCAUACAACACGGUAUGAGCACAUUUUGAUAGGGCACGUGGCAUGACAUGACAUGGCAAGUACGCGGGUUGAGCUGGGCUGGAUUAAUAAUUUUAGGUACAUGUGCCUAACAAGCACAGUACGAUUAGAGAUAGUAUAAAACACAACUCAUGAAAAGGUCUGCAAUAAGAACGUUUAUCUGUUGGGCUAGCACACGACUUGCAGACCAUCAAUAACAUGUGGGCCAAUACAUAUUUUAGUGAUUUUUUUUAUGAAAGUAAAAUUGAAAUUUUAUGAUUUUACAAAUAAUUUAAAUUUGAAUCUUUUUAUAUAUUUCAUUAGCAUAGUUUUUUAAAAAUUCAUUUAAUUCUUAGUUUAAAAAAUUACUCUAAUUUUUUUACAUUUAUAAUUUACUAAAUGAAUAGAUGAUCAUGAUUUUAAAAAAUAAAAUUAUAAAUAUCAUGAUUUCAUAAAUGUAUGCAUUAAUGUGAUUGUUGGUACGAAAAUAUAGAUAAGCAAUAAGAGUUGAAAAAAAAUUAUUUACUUAGGGAACAAGUUGAGAGAGUUUGAUUUACUCAUAAUUGCCAUUAUUGAGAGUGAAAAGCUUGAUAAUUGGAAUUUUUUAAAACAAUAAGCCAUCAGGAUUCGCUUGGGGGUAUUAUCGUUGUAGACCCUCCGAUACUGAAGUUAGAGAUUAAAAAUAAUAUGAUAAUAAAUAAAUAAUAAGAGAGAAAAGAGAAUAAGAGAAUAAAUAUUGUCAUACAAUAUACAUAUUUCGCAUGUAUCUUUAUAUAUAUACACACACAGACACACACCUUUGAGUGAUGAUCUCUUUAUAUAAGAGUGCUAAUAAUAAAAAGUGUUUAAAUUUUAAAUUAUAAAUGCCAUGUAAAUAUUGAAUUAACAAAUAAAAUUAUAAAUAUCAUGUAAAAGCAUUGCAGUUUCGUUGGCCAUCGCCUUGAAUUUAAAUUUUAAAAGAACCAAAAAAACAUAGUAAAUGUAAAAAUAACAUAAAAUAACAAAGCUUGAAGAAGUUUACUUCUUUAUUUCUUGCAUUUUCAAACUCUACUAUUUUAGGGCUCAAAAUCAUUUUCUAUUCUGCAUUUUAUAAAACUAGAAAUUAAAAAUACAAAAUUCUAUGGGAAUGUCAUGUGAUGCGUCGACAUUGGGUAGAUAUUCACUGUUUAUAUCUCAGUGCUGUUUUCCUCACCCCUCAUGAGUAAGCUUUGAAUUUGGUACCCAAUUUGUCCAAGAGUUAGUGAGCCAAUGAUCACUCAUUCACUCUAAUUAGAUAUUUAGUGGAUGAAAAUUGAUUGGACGUAAAAGAAAAUGCACAUGAAUAAUCGAAAUAACUUUCAAGUCCAAAAAGGCUUUGACUUAUUUGAUGCUUGUUCAAAUGGCUCAGUAUGUGCCGCGUCAACAUGUGAAAACUCAUCCACGUCACCAGCCUCAGCGCUCUCGCCACGUCAUCAUUCAAGCGGUUGUAACUGAUGAUAAUUUGGAUAAGAAAAAAGUGGCGCGAGCUUUGCUUCGUUUGAAUAGCACGGCCACGGCCAUAAUGGCCAGUGCUACAAGUGCUACUAAAGAGACAGUUCUUGACGGAGCUCACUUUCAAAUGAAGAACCGAAAUGCCCGCGUUUUGGUACUUGGAGGUACGGGUCGGGUCGGUGGAGUUGUAAAUUCAAAUAUUUUAGAAUGCUGUCAAACACGCUAGUUCUUGGAUGGAACUAUGGGGACAUGGAGUUGUAAAUUCAAAUAGUUAUGGCUGGAAUAUUUCCUAAUUUACAGUGUGUCGCUGAGAAAAUUUUGCAUACCGGCAGGGAAAAAGGUGCUGCAAUGGUCUCUACAUUGGGGAAGAAUUCUGAAUUUGCUGAAGUUAACAUUUACAAUGAAGGCUCAUUAUUAAUGGCUUUAAGAGGUGAGAUCAUUCCUCACUGACUAGAUGUAUCUUCUAUUGUUCCACAUCAAUAAUUCUUUUUCUUCUAGAGUCGAAGUAACACAGGAGUGUUUGAAAUAUUUGGUAAUCAAGUUAUACCAAGUGCAGCUCAAGUUCUUACAUUAAUCAAGUGAGCAGAAUUUCUGAGCAGAAGGGGCAUCUUUGGGAAUUAAACUGUACUGGAUGAGAUCGAAUUAAUUUUCGAGCCAUACAUCAUUGGAAAGAUAUUUCUGUUAGCUUUCCAAUGAAUUUUACUAAUCUAAAUUUGGAGUUUUCUACAGUAAGUUGUUAAGUGCAGACUGUUCAGUUUUGAGUCAAGAAGAAUAUUUCGGGACUUGGAUUUUUUUUAAUGUUCUUUGUUGUGUUUUAAGCAUACCAAUGUUUUAUUAAUGUCUAGCUUUAAUGUUGGUCUUUAAAGUCAAGUUAUUUGAAGGGUUUCUUUGUAGUAAAUCUAUGCUUGGAGGAUUGUUCUAAGAAAGCUAUUUAAGCUUAUGUAGUUGUAACCAAAGGACAGAGAUUAAUUUUGGAAUUGGAUGAACUUUGAGUUAUUAUCAAACUCUGUAUCUCUUUGGUGGAUUCCAAUGAGUGGUGAGUAUUUUUAAGCCCUGUAUCCUUAGCUUAACAACUUUAGGUGGUGAAUUUUUCUGUAUCCUUUUGUUGUUUGCUGUGGUGGUGAGCUUGUGAUUUCUUGGGUGUGUGACGUUGAUGGGUGUCGAAGCCAACAAAAAUAAAUUCCUACUCUAAAUAAAUUGUGUAUAGUAAUUGAGCAGGGUCGUGUCCACAGAGAUCGGUAAUUAUUUAAAUCCUUUUAAAAUGUAAAACAUAAAAUGGGGGUUUUGUUGACAAUAAUAAAAAUCAAAUUAAGAUAACAAGAAUGCAAAUUAAAGUUGUAAUUCAAAUUGGAGAAAGCUCUGGUUGAAGGAAUUAACUCAGCUUGAUUCGACUACUGAUCAUUGAUUCAAAUAUAGAUUAUUAUUACUUAUGAAUAGACCGGUUAUAGCUAUUGAGACCCUCUAAUAGCCAAUCUCUCCUUAACUAGUCGAUAACCAAGGUACGACCGUUGGAUAUUUCCCUAAUCAAUAGACAACCCUAGAUACGAUCAUAUGAUUUAAUCAAUUGACAGCCUGAAAAACUAGAGAGACCCAAAUCCUAAUCAACACAUAUGAUGAUUCAUUUAAAUUAGAUUGUUUAUUCUCACAACACAACUCUCUGCUAUGUUAUUUGUCACAAACAUUAAAUUCUUCAUACGAUGAAUCCUUUAAUUGACAAUAGAUUAAGUUGAUAAUUAAAUAGUGGCCAAUUACCUAAUUAACAAACAUAAUCACGAAACUAAUUCAGAGAAUAAACAAAUACCCAAAAAGUAAUAAAACAAUUAAAGCAUAAGAAAGAUCUCACAGUAGUGAUGAAUCAAAGCUUCAUUAACCUUCAACCAGAAAAAUAGGUUUAGUUCUUCAUAGAGAGAAGAGAAAAAUUAAGAUCUAGGGUUUCUUUCUUUUUCUCCAAUCCAAAUCCCCCUUUUUCACAAUAGAUUCCUCCCUUAAAUACUCUCUCUCUUCUCUUUUAGAAUUCUAUUUAAAAUAAAAUACUAAUAUCUGAAAUAUUAAAUUCGUAAUUACAAAAAUAACCAAAAAUACAAAACACGUUAAACUAAAAACUGCAGGUCCGCAGUUGACAGCACGCGCCCACGCCUUAUCAACAAAGUUCUUCUGACGCUCAUAAUUUCUCCAAGAGACAAUCCUCCUUAAACAUCAUCUUUUAGCUCAAUUUUAUCACCAAUCAAUAGAAUUGCACCUACAAAAGUAAAACACAAGUAAAACAUUAUUAUUAAGUGCAAAACAUCGAUAUUAAGGGAAGUAAAUAAUGCAAAACUAGUGCAUAAAUUGCACUCUAACAAAUUCCCCCACACCAAGAUGAUGCUUGUCCUCAAGCAUAUAACUCAAGAUUAAUCUCAAAUCUCCACUCAAUUCUCAUCUCAACUCAUCCAAAAAUAAUUUUAAGCAAGCAUACCUCAAGAAAUUAAGUCGAUCAACAUUCGAGAGACAAGGACUUUUAAAGCAUAGAAUCUCAUAAGAUAGAAUAAGAACAUUCAACCACCAAGAACAUCCAUUCAAAAUUCAAGUGCAACAAGAUUUAAUAGCCCUCUCAAUGACUUCACUCCAUGCACUCAAAGUGUUUAGGGUAUCAUUUAUGCACUCAAAUCAAAUCAAAGAAUGCUAUUACCAUAAGCUUGCUCAUAUAUCACAUCUCAAUCCACAAAACAUGAAUAAAAUGCAAAAAUCUAAGGGUCUUAAAUGGGUUGUAAUGGGGUUAAAUAGGUUAAAUGAAAAAGAAAGGUCUAUGAAAGAAAAAGAGAUCAAAAUGAGAAGAAUGAACUCAUUGAAUGAACUUAUGAUAUCAAAAUGCUUAUUUCUACUCAAGUCACCAAGAAUGUAAACUUUUUUUUUUCGAAUUUUUUUUUUCAAUUUUUCUUUUUCUUUUCUUUUUCUUUUCUUUUUUUUGUUUUUUUUUUUCGAAUCAAACAAAAGAAACGAACCUUGCACAAUUUAAUUCAAGAAUAAUGCUUGUUGAUCUUAUUGAGAAACUUUAAUACAAGGUAGAAAAGGCAACAAAAUAUAUUCACACAAUGAGUCCAAAAAUCUCCUUAAAUUGAGGCUCAAAAAGAAGAAAAAUGGUUAAGUAGACGGAGAGAAUUAGAUGGGUAAUGGUUAAGGCUCAAACAAAGGUAGCAAAUAAAGGUCUUCGGGUAGAGAAAAAAAAUGCGAGAAUAGAAAAAUGGUAAAUGGUUUGCCCUUAUCAUUUUAAUGCAUAAAAUCCCGUAAUGUGGCUUCAACAUGCAUAAUAAAGAAAGUUCUAGAAUAAACAAACUAAGAUUGAUAUUCACAUAACAAAAAUAAUUAGAGCAAAGUGGUUGCUCAUAGGCUCAAAUCCUCACAAAGUUGGUAAAUUUGCCAUCAAAUCAUGUACACUCUUCAAAUGAAUCAACCAUCAAUAGUGGUGUAGAAUGAGAAGAAGGUAUGAGUGAUAUAUAAAAGGAAAGGUAAAAAUGAUAAGAAGUGAGAAAGAUGAAAAGUGAAAGAUAAAAUGUGAGUGAUGAAAGAGUAUGAUAGAAUAAAAAUAGAUGUAAAUAAUUUGAGAUAGAUGGGAAAAGAGUAGUGAGAAAGGAAAUAAUAAUAAUAAUAAUAAUAUAUGAAGCAUACUAACUCCAAAAUCAUUUAAGGAUGAGUAGAGUGAAAAAAAAAAAGAUAAGUAGAGUGAAAACAAUAAUUCCAGACAUCAAUAAUGCAAAAAUCCCUCCCCCACACCAAGAACUUACAUUGUCCCCAAUGUAAGAUAAUCAAAGCUCACAUAAAAAUUAAAGCGUAAGGAUAAAAGAUUAAGGGCAAAAAGAAACUUCCCUGAAUUGUGAGCUUUGAUCCACAUAACGUCUAUGAGCUUGGCGGAAAUGGUGGGGUAAAUCCCACACUCUCGAAGUAUGCAGCCAAAUUCUGCUCCAUCUUAUUCAGCUUGUGCUCCAUUUUCUCUAGCUGAAUACUCAAAGGUGGUGCGGAUGUAGAAGGAAUAGUUGGCGGGGCAGCAGUGUCGUCGUCAAACUCGUCAUCAGAGGUAGCACCACUCCUAGCAUAAAGCUUCUUCGGAGGUUGAGUGGGUCAUGGUUCAGUAAACUGAAAUCUCCCCUCCUUGAAUUCAACCACACCUCUCUUUCUCUUGUUGAGUCGCGAACGCAAGGCACCCUCCGAGAUUGGAUUCCGCAAGUGGCAAAAUACUCAUGCCUUUUCCAUGCUUCGAUCUUUGUCUCACGGCUUGGCGUGAAUAUGAAAUUGUGUUCCAUGGAACCGUAGUGGGAGCGGCAAUCUUAGAUUUCUUUGCGAUGGGUGUCUUUUUCGAUGACUUGGAAGUUGAUGCUUUCCUCUUCGACAUUGUUACAAUAAUUGCACUCACGGAUUUCGAUUUACCUGGCUGGAAUACAGGGCGUACGUUGUGCGCUGGUGAGGCUUGCUUUGCGGGUGCUGUGCUGCGCUGCGUUGCGCGCUAGUGGUACUUCGUUGCGCGCUGCUGGGCUGCGAGACACGGGAUACUGGUGCUGCGCGCGCGGGGGCUUGCGUUGCGCGCUGGUGAGGCUGCGUUGCACGCUGGUGGUUCGCGUUGCUGGUUCGCGCUAUGUUGCUGGCCUGGAUCUACGCACUGCUGCGUUCGCGUUGUGUUGCGCGCGAGAGCUGGUUCGCGCUGUUGGUCUGCUGCUGCUCAGCUACGUUGCGCGCGGCUGGAGCUAAGAAUCUGGGUUGCUGGGGCUUGCGUUGCGCGAGACUGGUUCGCGCUGGCUGUUGCUUGCGUUGCGGGGUGAAGGCUGGAGCUGAGGCGCGCUGCUGUAAAACGAUAAUCAACAGUAAUUUUUGAAUUAGGGAUUUGUGAACAGUGAUUUUCGAUUUUUGGUUUUUUGUUUUUUGUUUUUUUAAUAAAUAAAUAAAUAUAUAUAUAAAAGAAAGAACAAAAGAAAAUUUUUUUUUCAUUUUUUAAAAAAUAAAUAAAUUAAAUUAAAUAAAAAAAAAGAUUUUUUUUUUUUUUUGUGAUGAAACACUUUGAGACACCAAAAAUUUCAGAAGUACUUUUUUAAUAAGCACGUGGGCACGCCUUAAAACUAUUUUACUUUAAAAAUUACAGAAGUAUUGUUUUAGUUAAGACGUGGGCACGCCUUAUCAAAAAUUUUCUUCUGGCCAAAAUAAGCAAACACAUUAUUUUAAAAAAAAAUCUGAAUCAAAAUUAAAAGAAGAUAUAACAAAAACCAAAAUAAAUAAAUCAUUUGGGUUGCCUCCCAAAAAGCGCCUUUGUUUUAUGUCUUUGGCUAGACACAUUUAUGCUUCAAUCUCCAUAAUUGGGACUCUCGAGAGCCACAUCCUCCACAAUAUUCACCGAAAAACCUUCAUAAAAAGGUUUUAAGCGAUGACCAUUAAUCUUAAAAACUUUGUCAGAGGUCGGACUCCGAAUCUCAACUGCACCAUGAGGAAAAACAUUAGUACCAAUAAAAGGUCCAACCCAGCAAGAACGUAAUUUACCCGGAAAAAGUUUAACCUUAGAAUGAAAAAGAAGAACUUUUUGACCAACAGAGAACUCCUUUCUCAAAAUCAUUCUAUCAUGAAAUGUCUUCGUCUUUUCCUUGUAAAAACUUUCCUGCGCUAUAGGGUUAAUAACAUCCACAGAAAAUACCGAAUGUUCCUCACUAGGAUAUUUCAUGGUAUCAUUCAUAUUGAAUUCUAUAACCUCUCCAUCAAACUCCAUAGUGAGAGUCCCUUUAUGUACAUCCAUUUUAGUCCUAGCAGUCUUAAGAAAAUGUCUUCCUAGUAAAAUUGGGACAGAAUUAGAGAAGUUAUCAUCUUCCAUAUCAAGUACAUAAAAAUCAGCAGGAAAAACCAACUCAUUAACUUGUACUAAGACAUCUUCUAAUACCCCAUCAGGAUAUGCAUUAGACCUAUCAGCUAGUUGAAUUAUCAGGCCAGUUUCUUUUAAUGGACCAAUAUUCAAAGAUGAAUAAAUGGAACGAGGCAUGACAUUAAUAGAAGCUCCUAGAUCUAACAUAGCCUUUUCAACUCUAACACUACCAAUUUUACAAGGGAUAGUAAACAUACCUGGAUCCUUGCACUUAGGAGGUAGUUUCUUUUGGAGAACUGUUGAAACAUUCUCCCCCAUGUGAACUUUUUCAUCUCCUCUUAAUUUUCUUUUGGAGGUGCACAGUUCCUUAAGGACUUUAGCAUAUCGAGGUAUUUGUUUUAUAGCAUCUAAUAAAGGAAUAUUUACCUCAACCUUGCGAAAUGUCUCAAGGAUGUCUUUCUCUUGUUCCUCCUUCUUAGAUUUUGCAAACCGGCUUGGAAAAGGAGGAGGUAUCACAAUAGGUAGGGGUUUCGCUCCGGUGGGUUGUGCAUCUUGAGAUUGAGGCAUCAAUUCAUUCUUCUCAAGCUCAUCUUCUACAUGCUCUGUCACUUUCUUACUAGGCUCUUGCAACUCCUUCGCACUUCUAAGGAUGACAGCACUAACAUUUUGCUUUGGAUUCACCUCAGAUUGUGAAGGCAAUCUCCCUAAUACUUGAGACUCCAGACGGCUCACUGUAGUCGCCAAUUGACUCAUUUGGUUCUCCAAGUUCUGAAUGCUUGCUGUAGUUGCCUGCUGAAAUUGUUGAGUGUUAGUCGCAAGUGAUUUAACAAUUUCUUCAAGAGAUAUACCUGACUUGGAGUUUGACUGUGGAGGUGCUGGUUGUCUUGGUGGAUACUGUUGUGGGAAUCCUGACGGUCUAACUCCAUAGCUGAAGUUGGGAUGAUCCUUCCAUCCCGGAUUGUAUGUUUGUGCAUAAGGAUCAUACCUCCUCUGAGGCAUGCCUGGAAAUCCUCCAACUGCAUUGGCUUGUUCAACGGGUUCUUCUUAGAGUGUAUGACACAUAUAAGUUGAAUGACCCAUAUUGUAACAAAUGCCACAAGUCUUCACCUGUUGCACAUUACCUACAACAAACUUUUCCACAAGAGAAGUUAGUUUAUCUAAACGUUGUUCAACAGAAGAAAUAUUUACCUCAUUCACCUUCCUUGAAGUGAGAUCUUGCCUGCUGCCAAAUUGUUGUGCGUUGGCAGCCAUAUUUGAUAUCAACUCCCUUGCUUGAGUAGGGGUCUUGUUCACCAACACACCUCCACUAGCAGCAUCUAUCAUACUCCUAUCCAUUAAUGACAGUCCUUCGUAAAAAUAUUGAAUAAGAAGUUGAUCAGAAAUCUGAUGCUGAGGACAACUGGCACACAAUUGUUUGAAUCGCUCCCAAUACUCAUACAAAGUCUCCCUAGGAAGUUGUCUGAUCCCACAAAUAUCUUUUCUGAUGUUGGCAGCUCUUGAAGCAGGAAAGUACUUCUCAUGGAACUGCUUCUUUAAACCAUUCCACGUUGUAAUUGAUCCAGGAGGCAAGUAGUACAACCAGUCUUUAGCUAGUCCAUCUAAAGAGAAAGGAAAAGCACGCAGCUUAAUCUGCUCUUCAGUCACACCUUGUGGUCUCAUACUUGAACACACAACAUGAAACUCCUUAAGAUGUUUAUGAGGAUCUUCACCUGCAAAACCAUGAAACUUGGGUAAUAAAUGAAUAAGACCAGACUUUAAUUCAAAAUUUACCUCUAAGUCUACAUAUUGAAUGCAGAGUGGUUGUUGAUUCAAGUCUAGUUCAGCUAACUCUCUAAGAGUUCUUUCUUCAGGUGCAGGUCUAUCUAGGGGUGGGCAAAAUCGGGUUCGGGUCGGGUUCGGGUCAACCCGAUCGGGUUUCGGGUUGUUCGGGUUAGACAAGAACCAAUCCGAACAUAACCCGAAUUAUUGACCCGACCCGAACCGGGUUGGAUUUAAAACGAGUUGGAUUGAGUUCGGGUCUGUUCGGGUCAGGUCGGGUCAAUUCGAGUCAGUUCGGGUCGGUUGAAAUCGGGUCAAUUCGGGUCAAUUCGGGUCAAAUUCGGUUAAUACAAUUUUGAGCUCUUUUUUUUUCCUAUUAUUGUAGUUUUUAUGAAAGUUUUAAGACAUUUUUCUUAAUUGUAGUCAUUUUUACUAAUUUUCAACUAAAAAAAGAAAAGAAAAUGUUAUUAUUAAUUCAAAAAUCAAAACACAUAAAUAUUAUUAACAUAAUCCAUAAACAAAAAUUAGUAAUUUCAAUUCAAGUUGUUCAUGCUCCAUAAACAAAAAGUAAGAAAUUCAUGAUACUUAAUUUUAAUAUAAUAUAUAAUAUCCAAUUACCCAUUCCCCAUAAUAAAUAAUAUGAUAUUAUUUGUCUAUCUAUAUCUUAUUUUUUAUUAUAAAUUAAAUCCUUUAAUUUCAAGUCCAAGUUACUUGUACUUAACAACUUAACGGAUGAUUAACAUAUAAUAUAAUAUUAAUUGAAUUUAUUAAUUUGUUUAGGGUUGAAAGCUUGAAGCUACUGCACAAGUACACAUAAUUACAUAACAUAAACACAUUAUAAUUAUAAAACAUAUACAACAUAAUACUUAAUUUUAAUAUUUAAUCUACCUAAUGUGCUAAUUUAUUCAUAAAAAAAUCAAUUAUUAAUUAUUGUUAACAAUUAUUAACAAUUAUCAAUUAAUAUUAUUUCAAUUAUUAACUAUUAUUAACAAUUAUUAACAAUUAACAAUUAUCAAUUAUCAAUUAACAAAACCCACCAAUCGACAAUUCCUUUUUAUAUAUGAAAAAAAAUAAUUUCUGAUGAGCUCAAUAAUUAACAAAAUUUCCUUGAUUUUAUUACUAAUAUUUAUAAAUACAUAAUUCGUUCAUUACAACAAUCAAAUUAUAAACAAUUACUAAAUUACAUAAUAAACUAUUUAGCAUAUAUAAUUAAUUAAUUAUAUAGUGUAUAUAUACCAUGAAGCGAAACAGGAAACACUUAGGAAACGGGUCAAAAAGUUGAAGGCUUGAAGCUUGAAAGUGGAAGGUGGAAACCGGAAAGCUUCAAAAUCGGGUUCGGGUGGAGAGGAUUCGGUCUUCAAGCAGCAGAUCGGUGGCCACGGCUCACGGCUGGACGGACGGGAUUUCACUUGGCAGCAGAUCGCGGCUUCACUUGGGAGUUGGUAGCAGCAGAUCUCGGAGAUGCGGACGGCUCACGACUCACGGCUGGAUGGGUUUGACUUGGCAACAGCUGGUCGCGACUUCACUUGGCAGCAACAGAUCGUGAUUUCAGCAGUUGGCAGCAACAGAUCGCGUCUUAUGGUGGCUGGUUGCAGACUUGCGGGUUGCGGGUUGCGGCUGCCUUGUUCAGUUGUUUCAUUGUUUGUGUUUGUGUUUGUGAUCUGUGAAGUUGUGGCUGACAGGCAGCGUGUGUGUGUGUUAGGUUUGCGUCUUUGCGAGUGAAUUGUUGAGUGCAGCGUGUGUGUGUGUGUGUGCUGUGCACUUGCAGCGUGUGUGUCACAGUGUCAGUGUGUGUGCUGUGCAGCUUGUGACUUGUGUGUGUUGUGCAGUGUGCAGCUUGUGGCUUCUAUAGUUCUAUGUGUGCAGCAGCGUAUGUGACUAUGUGUGUGUGGCUCAGUGGCUGGCAGCUUGUGACUUCUGUUCUAGUGUUCUUUGUGUGUGCUGUGCAGCAGCAUGACAAAUUCAAAUUUGUUUCCCGUGACAAAUUUCUUUCUUUGUUUCUUUCACAUCCUCUCUCGGUCUCUCCCCUUUUUGUUUUUUUUUUCUUUUCCUCCAAAAAGAAAUUGUUCUGUUCUUAAACAAUUUGUCAAAUGCUCGAAAUUUAUCAAUUGCUUGGCGUUGGGUAGAAGAUAAGAUCUCUUUUGAAUGAUUAAAUUGGACAAAAACAGAAAAGGGUGAGGAUUGCUUCAGUCAUCAUUGCACUUGCAAAAUGCCAUCUAAGGCAACUUUAUUUUCUUUAUUAAAAUUUAAAAUGUCUCUGAGAAGAAUUUUGACAGAAUGGCUGCCAACUUUUUGGAUUGGUUAUUGGUGUGAUUCGAUUGCUGUUGGAGAAUGGAGAGGGAAAUAUGCUCAAUAAGGAGUACAGACACAUGCCAGAAAUCAAUUUUUUUUUUUUUUGGGAACCCGAUCGGGUAUUCGGAUCGGGUCGGGUUUGACCCGAACCGAUCACAACCCGAUCGGGUUUGUAAGUUUCAAUCCGAUCGGGUUUCAAUCCCGACCCGAUCCGACCCGAACCCGAAAUUUAUCGGGUCGGGUCGGGUCGGGUUGGGUCGGAUCGGGUAAAAUGCCCACCCCUAGGUCUAUCCAUCACUUGUUCUUCUGAAUCGCUAGAUGGUUCAACUAAAUCAGGUACUGUAUCUGUUUCAGAAAGCAAAGGCGACGAGGAUCGUUGCUUAGCUCGCUUCGUUUGCUGUCUCAGCUGGCGAGCUGUCUUCUCAAUUUCAGGAUCAAACGAAAGUGUACCUGUACGAGAAGAACGAACCAUACACCAAGUAAAACGUAAAAGGAUUAAAUAAAUGACACCAAUCCCCGGCAACGGCGCCAAAAUUUGAUGGGUGUCGAAGCCAACAAAAAUAAAUUCCUACUCUAAAUAAAUUAUGUAUAGUAAUUGAGCAGGGUCGUGUCCACAGAGAUCGGUAAUUAUUUAAAUCCUUUUAAAAUGUAAAACAUAAAAUGGGGGUUUUGUUGACAAUAAUAAAAAUCAAAUUAAGAUAACAAGAAUGCAAAUUAAAGUUGUAAUUCAAAUUGGAGAAAGCUCUGGUUGAAGGAAUUAACUCAGCUUGAUUCGACUACUGAUCAUUGAUUCAAAUAUAGAUUAUUAUUACUUAUGAAUAGACCGGUUAUAGCUAUUGAGACCCUCUAAUAGCCAAUCUCUCCUUAACUAGUCGAUAACCAAGGUACGACCGUUGGAUAUUUCCCUAAUCAAUAGACAACCCUAGAUACGAUCAUAUGAUUUAAUCAAUUGACAGCCUGAAAAACUAGAGAGACCCAAAUCCUAAUCAACACAUAUGAUGAUUCAUUUAAAUUAGAUUGUUUAUUCUCACAACACAACUCUCUGCUAUGUUAUUUGUCACAAACAUUAAAUUCUUCAUACGAUGAAUCCUUUAAUUGACAAUAGAUUAAGUUGAUAAUUAAAUAGUGGCCAAUUACCUAAUUAACAAACAUAAUCACGAAACUAAUUCAGAGAAUAAACAAAUACCCAAAAAGUAAUAAAACAAUUAAAGCAUAAGAAAGAUCUCACAGUAGUGAUGAAUCAAAGCUUCAUUAACCUUCAACCAGAAAAAUAGGUUUAGUUCUUCAUAGAGAGAAGAGAAAAAUUAAGAUCUAGGGUUUCUUUCUUUUUCUCCAAUCCAAAUCCCCCUUUUUCACAAUAGAUUCCUCCCUUAAAUACUCUCUCUCUUCUCUUUUAGAAUUCUAUUUAAAAUAAAAUACUAAUAUCUGAAAUAUUAAAUUCGUAAUUACAAAAAUAACCAAAAAUACAAAACACGUUAAACUAAAAACUGCAGGUCCGCAGUUGACAGCACGCGCCCACGCCUUAUCAACAAAGUUCUUCUGACGCUCAUAAUUUCUCCAAGAGAACAAUCCUCCUUAAACAUCAUCUUUUAGCUCAAUUUUAUCACCAAUCAAUAGAAUUGCACCUACAAAAGUAAAACACAAGUAAAACAUUAUUAUUAAGUGCAAAACAUCGAUAUUAAGGGAAGUAAAUAAUGCAAAACUAGUGCAUAAAUUGCACUCUAACAGACGUUGUGUUUUCUCAUCUAUUGUGUCCGGUGUCACGAAGUAAAGGGAUUUUUUUUUUUCUUUUGAAGUAGAUAUUUCGUUAUUGACAAUAUUUUGAUGAUAUUUUAGUCUGUAUGUGAAAUGCUGUAACUUUGCUUCGUCAGAUGUGGAUCUUGUGGUUCAUGCAGCAGGACCUUUUCAACAGGCACCGAAAUGCACUGUAUUGGAAGCUGCCAUAGAGACCAAGGUGAGGAAAGGUAAAUGUUGUGUUUGAAUAUCUCUUUUCCAAGUCCAGUUUUCUAUGUUUUGUAUAUGUGAUAAUUGAAGCAUGUAUACAACUUUACUAUGUACCCCAGAUGUAAUCUUAUGUGUUCUUUUUUGUGUCUCCUAACAGACAGUAUACAUUGAUGUUUUUGACGAUACCAUCUACUCCCAGCGUGCAAAAUCCUUCAAGGACAGAGCAAUAGCUGCAAACAUUCCAGCCAUAAUCUCUGGAGGAAUCUAUCCAGGAGUGAGCAAUGGUGCUUUUAUGAACAUGGACAUUCUUGUCCUGCUAUCCGCACUUCUAGCACUGUAAAUGAUACGAUUAAGUGAAGAAUACGGAUAGAGUACUAAUUCUUUAAUUGAAACAUGUGCAGACUACCAAUUCUUGCUUUAGAGCUAAAACUUAAUUGUUGGUAAACUCAUAGGCCUGGCUCCAAAGUUCUUAUAUAUGGGUGCACAUAUUGGUUUGACAGAUAGUUUUAGUGACUUUAUAUCAUUAACUUGAGUAUUGCAACUAAGAUAAAAGCUCAAAGUUUUCUUUGACAAAGUCUUUAAAAUCUUGAGCUACUUGCACGACAUAAUGAUUCUUUCAGAUCUCCAAGGGCAUAUCUUGCCUGAAUAGCCAUUUUGCUUCUGCUGAAAUAAGUAUCAAUAUUAAACACUUUAGAUGACACUUAAUUAGGUAGGGCUCCUAAACUUUGAGAUGGUUUCUAUUUUCAUGCUUACAUUCCAACUAAGCUGAAUUAUCUGAUGCCCGGUCCCUGCUCUUUGGAACUGUUUAUUUAAUUUUGGAUGUUGGGAUUUUCCGAAAUUGUACAAUUUCAGGACUCAAAAUCGCAUUUGAAGUUAUUUCAAAUUCCAGCACUUUGGGAAACUUCUAAGAUUUGUACUUUACUGCUUUUAUUUUCAUAACCAAUUCUUAUUUUCUUAACACAUUUUGGAGAACAUACAACUGAAAUCAUUUUUACCUAAUAACCUAGCAAAAAGCUACUACAUCUCUCAAUGUUGACCUCUGGGCUAAUCAAGCAUUUAACUUUCCUAAUACAAUUUAUCACAAAACGAUUAUCCCUUUUCAUAUUAUCCCUUCCCAUGAGUUUCACGGGUGUUGAAAAAGUAAAAAGUACUAGUUUGAAAUUUUACAAACUGCUGGAAAAUGGAAGGUCUAACAUCUUUCUUAACAAUCUGAAAUAGACUUCGUGCAUGCUGUAAAUUUAAAUGAAUCAUAAUUAAUUUAAGAUUAUUCCUCCUCAUCUUUCUUAACAAGUAGAUUACACAUAUUAUCAAGAAUUAAAUGGAAGGCCGAACAACUUUCUCACUCAAAAGUCUUAAUUCACUCAAAAGUCUCAACAUUUCUCACAACAACCUGACAGGUGGUAUUCCAUCGUCGCUAAGAAAUCUGACAGAGCUUGAAUCUCUAGACCUCUCUUCAAACAAGCUUGCUGGACGUAUCCCAACACAACUGGCUAGUCUCAAUUAUCUUUCGGUGUUGAAUCUUUCGAACAACCAGCUCGAGGGACCCAUACCAGGAGGACCCCAGUUUAAUACAUUUCGAAAUGAUUCCUAUUCUGGUAACUCGGGACUGUGUGGAUUCCCAUUAUCAAAAAGCUGCAGCAUUGAUGAGGCACCAGAACCACCAACACCAACAGGAUUUAUCGAAGGAGACGAUGCUUCAAGCUGGUUUGAUUGGAAGCUCGCUAAGUGGGUUAUGCAUCUGGAGUGCUGAUCGGCUUGUCCAUCGGAUACAUGGCAUUUGUGACUGGAAGGCCACAAUGGUUUGUAAGAAUGAUCGAAAGGAAGCAAUCCAGGAAGCUGAGAAGGGUGAUCAGACGAGGCGGAGCAGGUAGAAGAAGUUUGUAGGUGCAUCUCCAAAGGCCCAGUUGAGUAAUUAUUAGUUUGUCUUUUGGAAUUAUAAGCUGGUUUCUACUGUUCUUUGAGUAGAUAGCAUGCUGAUAUUAUCGUAAUCUAACAGUUGACUCACAAAAACCACCAUCCUAAUUUAUUUCAGAUUAUGUUUAUUAUCAACAUCUAUAGCGAGAAACAACAUGAGCAUAAUGUGUAAGAAAGAAAAUUUUAACUGAAUUAUUGAUGUGGUUGUUUUCUUCAGGAAUUAUAAACUCCUGGAAGCAAGCAAUGGAAGUCAAAUAAUCCUCCAUUAAGUGUGUGCAUUGCUCUUCCUGGGGAAAAUGUAUUAAAUGAUAUCCCACACAUCUGCCAAUGGGCUUGUACAGGGUUUACAUCCGAUGGUUGAAAUUGAGAUCUUUUAUUAAAAGUCAAACAAUUUCUUUUUUCCUCACAUUCUCUUCUUUCGUCUGGUUCGAAAAUUUUGUUUCCAGACACAGAAAACCAAAACAUUAAUUUAUUAAAAGUCAUAAAAUAAUUAAUUGAAUAAAGAGAGAGUUUUUGAAAGGCUUCUUGUCUUCCCUAAGAACUCCUCCACUAUUCUCUCCCAACCAGCCUAAAAUUCUACAAUACAUUCGUCCAAUGGUGAUUAACACCCACAAAUAGAGCUCAAGAUGGCUAGAGAAAGAAUAAUGUAGUAGUUAUUGCCUGCAAUGAUUUCAAAGACUCUUAAGAUUUCCUCUGCUUUUACUCAAUUUCCGAGCUUGACACUCCUUAACCUCUCUUUCAAUUCCCAAGUUGGAUCAACUAAUUAGUCAGUUGGCCCAACUAUUUCCGAGUUUUCAGAAAGGAAGACUUCAAUUGUCCCCAAGGGUCGAAAAGUAAAUAUCUAAAUGGUUAUUAAUUGGAUACAGCUUCAGCUUUUGGACUGGUUUGUGGAAAUUGAAAAAAUUUGAAAAGUGUUCCUCUUGAAGAAUCAAAGUCUACUUUAUACGUAAAGAAAGGGGAUCCCAGUAAAGAUAAUCCAUCAAUGUUCAGUUACAUUCGAGCGUGUUGACUACCUUCACGAUGAAAGACUUCUAUUGUCCCAAGGAGUUUAAUCGAGUGAUUUUUUAAGUAUUCCACUGACCAACAUGAGAUUCCAAAGCAAGACUUGGAAUAAGUAUCGAGGGGUCCACACGCAUUUCCGCGAGACCUCGCUGAGUUUUGCGAGGUCCAUACAUACUGAAUAGCUUACCUCAGAAUCUUCACCUGCUGACGCGAGAAUGUUUAGAACCUUUGAGGAUGCAAGGCCAGUUACACUCCCCUUAUGAACAAAUUCAGUGGCAGCCUUCCUCAAACAUUUGCAAAAAGUUGUGUCUUGACAAGUCUUAACCUCAAUGGCAAUUGGUUGGAAGGGCCGAUGCCUCCAUCUUUGGUUAACUAUUGGCAUUAUAAGCUGGUUUAUGUAUUGUUCAUGGAGUAGAUAACCAGCUGAUAUGUUUCAUAUUCUAACAGUUGAUAUACAAAAAUCCCAAUCCUGAUUAAAUUCAAAUUAUGUUUAUAAUCAGCAUCUAUAGUCUAUAGAGAGAGAGAAAAUGAGGGCCACAUUUUAAAAAUAAUUUUGACGUAGGAAAUUAUUUGGGGUGAAAUUCAUUUGGUGCCAUUUAGGCCACUUUUUUUCAAUUGGGCGUAUGUUAUAUACUUUUUCAAAGCUGGUAACAAGAUGAACAAUGUUGCCCAUUUGCCUUUGACUCUGAUGUCCGGGGGCUUUUACGAAAUUGUACAAUUUCAGGACUCAAAAUCGCAUUUGAAGUUAUUUCAAAUUCCAGCACUUCGGGAAAUUUCUAAGAUUUGUACUUUACUACUUUUAUUUUCAUAACCAAUUCUUAUUUUCUUAACACAUUUUGGAGAACAUACAACUGAAAUCAUUUUUACCUAAUAACCUAGCAAAAAGCUACUACAUCUCACAAUGUUGACCUCUGGGCUAAUCAAGCAUUUGACUUUCCUAAUACAAUUUAUCACAAAACGAUUAUCCCUUUUCAUAUUUUAAGUUCAGUAAUAAGAAUGAGGGGGCACCUUCCAAAUGUAUGCACCUUUUUUAGUUUUAUCCCACAAAACUUUAUCACAAAACAAUGGCCUUUUCAUAUUUUCAGUUAUUGCUCAAUCCCUUCACAAAAAAUUAUGCACAUUUACAAGGGAUAGAAGAUUUUGGUUUGGCUUUGAUUUUGAUAUGACUAUAAAUACUAUUGAAAUUACAAACUUUAGAGGCUCACGAAAUAAAUAUUGUAAAUUUAAGGGGGCUAAAUCAUAAGCUUUACAAAUAAGUGGAUUCAAUUUUAGUUUGUACCUUUAUCAGCGAAUCCAAUUUUCCAAUUUUCAAACCAAAAUGUAGUUUUAAUUUUUUGAUUAAAUUUCUUUUGAAAAUGCUCAACUAAAUACUUUUUAUGGUUAGAUGUUAGUUUGAAUGAACACGUUCAUAGAUGAUUGUGUAAGCAAUUUAUUUGGUUAAUUAACGGUUGUACUCUUUAAAAAUGCGAAUUACUAAUUUUAAAAAAUUUCAGUGGUUAGUGUAUUAAAAGUGUGUUUGGAGCAUAGCAAUGCAUGUUAUUGUAAUACUAUUCACAUUAAUUUAUUACUAAACCAUGAUUGGUAAUUUAGAAGCUACAUUGUGGUGCAUAUGCACCAUAAUGCGCCAACUUUUGCCUCAAUUGAGGCAUUAAAUAUAUUUUAAUUAUAAUAAAUUAAAUAUAAAAUAAGUUAUAUUAUAAUAUUUUUAUUCAAUAGCACAAUAUCACAUUAUAUUUAUACAUUAGUAAUUAAUAUAAAAUAAUAAUUUAAUAAUUAAUUUUAUAUAAUUAACAAUAAAAUAAUAAUAAAUUUAAAUAAUAUUAAUACAAAAUUAAUAAAGUACAAUCCAACACAAAAUAUUAUACGAUAUUAUUAUAAUGCAAUGCUUAUUCAAUACUGCAUAAAGUGAUGACAUAAUACGGUGUAAGUAAAGAGUAAUGGAUUUUAGUUGGCAAUAACGUAUGCCCAUUACUAUAAAGCAAUGGCCCAACACUUGGCAUGUCAAAAACAAAAACUGUCCACGUCCUCGGACACACACUGGCGCCACGUCAUCACUCACUGUAAACUGAAAAGAAAAUUUUUUAUAAGAAAACAGUUGAAUAAUCGAAUUUCGAGUCUUUGGCGGACGUUAUUCUUUUAUGCUAAAUAUAUCUUUGAGUUAAACAGUUAUUAAAACAUUGGGGCUAGUUUUUCAUUUAACUACAAAAUUACUUUUUUUGAAACCCAUAAAACCAUUUUUAAGUGGUAAAUUAGUUCUAUCACGUCUUCAACUAUUACCAAAUUCUUAUUCGAGUUCACCAUUUUAGUAGUAAAUGCAUUAUCUAAAUAAUUUCAAAUGAUGUAUUAAAUAAAUAUUUUGAGGAACAAGGCUCAUCAUGUCUCCUCUCAUUAGUUGUAUUUUUAAUUUCUUUUUAAAAAAUUCUCACAUAAUCAAUUAAAAAAAAUUAAGCCACAAAAAAAAACAAAGUAUUUAGCUUCGCAGCUGAAUGGGGCUAAAUUGUGUAUUAUUUGGCUGGUGAAACUCUUACCACAUCGGCUAAUAUGCUACUUUUGGAUCCCUUAUUUUAACUUUUAUCAUGACAUGGCAGUGGUGGUAACAGAGCUUGCUCAUAUUGGUAGAAGUGAAAUGAUUGCAAGUAAUCUCCCACUAUGACUGGCAUUUUUAUCUUAUUUAAGUUUCGGUGAAGCCCAUCCACAUAAAAUAAUUGGCAGGAAGUGUUAAGGAGAAAAGAUAGUCCUAAUUCAAUGCAUGGGGAUGCUGCUAUCACUUUUUAUUACUAAAUAUUUUUAAAUUGGAAUAAUGUAUUAACGGAAUAAAAAUUUUCAUAAUCUAACAAUUGAUUUACAACAACCCGAGUCCUCAUUAAAUUCAAAUAAUAAUUAUAAUCAACAUCUAUAGGAAAAUGGAAAACGAGAAUCAUAUGUAAAAAGAAAUCAUUUCGUAUGCCCAUUACCGUAUUAUAUUUGUACAUUAGAAAUUAAUAUAAAAUAAUAAUUUAAUAAUUAAUUUAAUAUAAUUAAUAAUAAAGCAGUAAUAAAUUUAAAAAAUAUUAAUACAAAAUUAAUAAAGUAUAAUCUAACAUUAAAUACUAUACAAUAUUAUUACAAUAAAAUACUAAUUCAAUACCACAUAAAGUAAUAUACGUGCAUUAUUUGGAACUGGCAUAAAGUAAAAUUAAUAAAGUAUAAUCUAACAUUAAAUACUAUACAAUAUUAUUACAAUAAAAUACUAAUUCAAUACCACAUAAAGUAAUAUACUUGCAUUAUUUGGAACUGGCAUAAAGUAAAAUUAAUAAAGUAUAAUCUAACACUGUUACAGAUAUUAAUACUAUAUCAACACACAUGGAAAAACUGGAAUAGAUUUUUAUUUGGAACUGGCAAUCUAACUUCCCACUUUUUUGACAAACUUAUGUAGACAAACUAAUAAAAGAGGUAUCAGGAGGAUGGGUGUUUAAUCUUCGAAGUCCUGCCCCAACAACCUUCAACAGUUUAUGCCUGUCCUAGUUGAAGCUAAAUACAAUAGUAAAGAAUCAAUAAGAGAGAUGAAAAUAUUUAUAAUAGUGAAGGAAAGCCUAAACCAAGAAUUGAAGUAAAAUAAUAAUAAUUUAAGUGAUAAAGUCGGUGCUCGUACUCCUGUUAAUUCUAGAUAAAUCUGAUUAGUUUGACGACUUUUACCAGUUCAAAUGCUCUUCUGAUUGCUAAAUAGAAAGUUGGACGCAUUCUUGAAUUGAAUUUAUAUCAUCGUCUGACCUCUUCAAAACCUACUAUGAAAGUGAUACAAAUCAUUAAAAAAUAAAGGCAUGACCUGGACGCUGAUCAUUCUUCAUUCAUAUUCAAAGAUUCAAUCGGCCCUGAUAUUACAUGAAUAUUAAAAUCGACUGACAUGGUAUGGUAAUGGAAUGAGCGUAUGCAUAUGCAUGCUUAUUGCUGAAUAGAAAGGUGUGAGAUUAAAACCACAUGUCGAUGCAAUCAACAUGGAAUACAUGGAAUUUGAAGACAACAGUUUAUGCAUAUGCAUGCUUAUUGCUGAUAUUACAUGUUUAGCUGCCGAACAACUUUUUUAACAAACUGAAACAGAAUUAAAGCCGAGGAUGGAAAAUCAAUUGUGUUUUGUGCAUAAUGUAUAUGACUGACUGACUAACUACGAGUUUAGCUGCCUGCCACAUUAGCAUAAUAUAACACAUAACUAAUAUCAUUCCGCGUCGAGCAUGUCGUCAAGAUCCCCCUCUUGAAAGGAUUCCACUUACCACCUAAAUUCCAAAGCUAGAAGACUUGGUGCUGUAAGUCAAUAAAUAUUCUAUUAUUAAUUAAUUACACACCAUAUUCAACUUCUAUAAAUAGUCAUUAUAUCUCUCUCUCUUCUUGUGAUUUCAUCAUCCAGAAAAGAAAAAGAAAAAGAAAAUGGGUUAUAUCACUCAGCCUUAUCAACUUUUUAUUUGCCUCCAGUUAUUGCUCUUCUAUUCUCAGUAUUCAGCAAUACUUUGCUCUCACGACCAAAGUUCUGCUUUACUCCAAUUUAAGCAGCUCUUUUCCUUUCAAAAACAUUCUUCGCACCGUUGUGAAAUAUCUCGUCCAAAGAUGAUGUCUUGGAAAGAGGGCGCUAAUUGCUGCUCCUGGGAUGGAGUAACAUGUGAUUCGGUGACGGGUCACGUGAUUGGCCUCGACCUCAGUUGCAGUUGGCUUCACGGCAACAUCCCUUCCAACACUAGCCUUUUCUUUCUUUCUCGCCUGCAAAAGCUCAACCUGGCUUACAAUGAUUUCAAUUACUCUAAGAUUUCCUCUGGUUUUAGUCAAUUUCCGAGCUUGACACUCCUUAACCUCUCUUCCAGCAAUUUC